CGGCUAGGGGUCUAAAGCCUAAAAGCUAGCCCUGGGCUGCCACUGUUUGCUCGACUAGAUGGAUAACGCCCCUCCUGUCGUCUCAUUAAAUGCGCCGUGCGCCUCACUCCUUGUCCUGACGAAACUGCACACUGGGCGCUUGCCGCGCGCCCACGUGGCGCUGCUGUUCUGCUCCCUCGGCCUCGCCCUCGCGGCGGGAACCUGUCCUCGGGAACGCCCCCUCCCGGCAAGGACCUUCCCGGGAGGUGCCAAGGCGGGAUUUUUCCCCGAAGCCCCGCUAGCCUGCCGAGCUGGUAGCUUGCCGGGCAGCCUGCACGUUGCCGCCCGGGGUGAGAUCCUUCCGGAAACCCAGCAUAGUGGCCCAUGCGUCGUGCAGCGGUGGCACCCCGGGUGCCACUGGUGCGACACCGUUGCUCCUCGGAUGAGCGACAGAGGCGAAGUGAAUUUUAGUGCCCAUGUCCUCGCAGUAAGCUUGGAGACCGCACUAGUGAAUUGAGUGCCAUUAUUGGUGAUGAUGCCGUUAGGCACACCUAACCGGCACACAAUGCCCUUGAAAAACUUGAUGGCCGCCUGCGCUUUGAUAGCUCGGACAGGCUCCACCUCGACACACUUCGAGAACUUGUCGAUGGAACCAUGGAGGUACUUGUAGCCGCCAACAGCUCUCGGCAACAUUCCAACGAUGUCCAGCUCCCAGACCGCGAACGACCAUGAGGUCGAGAUGACUUGCAGGGCUUGCGCUGGUUGGUUGCUCUUCUUGGCAUGAAACUGGCAUGCUUCACAGGUCUUGACUAGUUGCUUGGCAUCGGCUAAAGCUGUUGGCUAGUAAAAGCGUGCCGGAAUGCUUUCCCGGCUAGUGCCCUGGAGGCCACAUGGUGCGAACAUGUGCCUCGAUGGAUAUCCUCCAGCAGCGUGCACCCUUCCUCCUGGGGCACGCAGAGAAGCAUAACUCCGUUAGGACGCCUCCGGUAGAGAUCCCCAUCUACCAGAGCGUACAUCUUGGCUUGCCGAGCAACUCGCUCCGCGGCAAUGUCUUUCUCUGGGAGGGUUCCGCCUCUGAGGUAAGAACAAUAUCCGCCGCCCAGGGUGGCGGUUCCCGGCUUAAGCAUGCCACGAGCUCGGUGACAUGGUACCCCGCAGUUGCGGGUUCUCCUUCGGUUGCCGGAGGGGCUUCCCUGGCAACCGUCUUGGGAUUGACAGAGGGCUUUAGCUGCCUCUGUACGAAUACCACAGGAGGCACCUUGCUGCGUUCCGCUGCCCACUUGGACAGUUCAUCCGCAACAAAGUUGUCCUUGUGCUUCACGUGUUCAAACCAAAGUCCCUUGAACUUGGACUCCCGCUUUCGAACUUCCUCCACGUAUGCUGCCAUCUGGGGCAGUCAUAGUCCUUGUUCACCUGGUUUAUCACGAGUUGCGAAUCCCCGCGAACAACCAGGUGCUUGAUGUCGAGGGCGAUUGCCGCGCGUAGCCCGGCUAGCAGCCCCUCGUACUUUGCGGUGUUGUUGGUGGAGUUGGCAAAGUCGAGCUAUAUCACGAAUUUGAGUUGAUCUCCAGUGGGCGACUCGAUCACCACUCUGGCACUGGCGCCCUAUAGACAGAAGGCGCCGUCGAUGUACAUGACCCAAUACCCUUCAUCCAAUUUGCCGGGAAGGCUCGCUUCUGGCUCUUCUUCCUCUAUCCCCGUGGACGUCCACUCCGCGACAAAGUUGGCGAGAGCGGUGCUUUUGAUGCUUUUGGUAUUCGUGAAACACAGCCCGAACUCUGCCAGCUCCAUUUUCCAUUCGGCCACCCUCUCGGUGGCUUCAUGGUUGAUGAGGGCUCGCUCUAGGCAGAAUGCCGACACCACCGUGAUGUUGUGCGCCUGAAAGUAAUGGCGCAGCUUCCGUGAAGCGAGCAGGAUCCCAAGCAAAAGCUUCUGGACCUGUGGGUACCGUACCCGAGCAUCGCGCAACACCGUGCUGACAAAAUACACAGGGUGCUGUACUAGCCGCUUGCGGAGGGCAGCCUGAGUGGACGGCCCCUCGGCUCCCGGGGCAGAGGCGGUAGCUGAGGGUUCCCCUGGAUCACCGGGAGCCCCCGGCCCUCCUGUCGCAGCCCCCAGGACUUGCUCUUCCCUCUCGGCAACGAGCACAGAGCUCACUACCUAGUCUUUUGCUGCCAAGUAAAGCAGCAUAUUGCUCGCCCAGCUUGGGGGUGACGAGGAUCGGCGGCGACUUCAGUUAUUGCUUCAAAUCCUGGAACGCCACCUCCGCCUCAGGGGUCCAAUUGAUUGUGCCCUUCUUCUUCAUCACCUUGAAGAAAGGCAGGGCUCGCUCGCCCAACCUUGAGAUCAAUCGCCCAAGCACCGCAAUGCAAACGUUGAGGCGCUGGACAUCUCUUACCUUGCGGGGUGCCUCCAUCUUCUCGAUUGCCUCGAUCUUCUAUGGAUUGGCUUCGAUUCCCUAGUGAGACACCAAGAAGCCCAGCAAAUGCCCCGAGUCCACGCCGAACGUGCACUUCUCGGGGUUAAGCUUGAGCUUGAUCCUGCGGAGAUUAUCGAAUGUCUCCUGCAGGUCGCCAACGAGCGAGUCCUUGCGCCGCGACUUGACGACAAUAUCGUCCAUGUAGGCCUCGAUAUUCCGGCCUAACUGGGGUCCCAGACACUCGCGCAGAGCGCGCUGAAAUGUCGAGCCCGCGUUCUUCAGCCCGAAAGGCAUGCAUGUAUAACAGUAGCAGCCAACCGGGGUGAUAAACGCUGUUUUCUCCUCAUCUUCUACCGCCAUCUUAAUCUGAUGGUAGCCGAAGAAUGCAUCCAGAAAGCAUAAAGACUCACAACCUGCUGUGGAAUCUACUAUUUGAUCGAUCCGGGGUACAGGAAAGGGGUCCUUAGGACAUGCACGAUUAAGAUCAGUAAAAUCUACACACAUGCACAAUUUAUUCCUAGCCUUAGGGACUACAACAGGAUUUGCUAACCAAGUAGUGUACAACACUUGCCUGAUUGCCCGGCAUUCUUGAGCUUCUCCAUUUCUUGCUGGAUGAAGUCCUUGCGUUCCUGUGCUUGCCGGCGAACCUUCUGCUUGACGGGCCGCACGUUUGGCCACACCGCCAGCCGAUGCUCAAUCACCUCCCUGGGGACUCCGGGAAGAUCUGACGGCUCCCGAGCGAACACGUCAGAAUUCCCCCGAAGGAAGGCGAUGAGGGCGCUUCCUAUUUGUCGCCGAGGCUCGCACCAAUGGAAACGGUACGCGCCUCGCUGCCGGCAUGCAGGGGCACCUUCUUGACCUUGGCGCCCUCUUCCUUCAGCUUCAUGCCCUUGCUAACGCGCGGGCUGGAGCUGGUGCUGCCCUCGGCAUCCUGUCCGGGAGCGGCUCAUGCCUUCUUCUGUGCGGGCUGCUCGCCCGCAAGUGAAUCCUCGUUCCCGGCAACGUCGUAGUCGCCGGGAUCCGCAACUGCGGAGGCCUUUACGACCUCGCCCACGCACCAAGAAGCGUCCUUCAGGUCGCACUUGAUGGAGAGUACACCGUAUGUUGACGGCAUCUUCAUCACGCCAUAGGCGCAAUGAGUUGCCGCCAUGAACUUGAUUAGCGCCGUCCGACCAAUAAUCCCGUUGUACGGCAACGGGGUGUGAGCCACGUCGAAAAUGACGUACUCAGUCCGGAACGCUUCCCGAGACCCGAAAGUCACCGGGAGCGUGAUUUGCCCCAUGGGCUGAAACCACACCGGGGUUGAUCCCCCGGAACGGGUCGGUGGGCUUCAUCAGCUCCAGAGGCAGCUGAAGCUUCUCCACCCUCUUGGUGGACAGGAGGUUAAGGCUCGCCCCAUUGUUCACCAGAACCUUGGUCACCGUCACAUUGCUUAUGAUAGGUGACACCACGAGGGGCAGCACCCCUGAUCCCAAGGGACGAAUCGGAUGAUCGUCUGAGUUCAAGGUGAUCGGCACGUGCGACCACCUCAAUGGCUGUUCCGCCUCCACGCUAGAGAGGAGGGUGCAAACCUCACGAGUGAGCCGCUUCACGGCGGUGUGAGACGUGAGAGCGUAUGUUCCCCCGUGGAUGUAGGUGACGUCGAGGGGCUCCUAGAAGCCAGGCUCAUCGGCGGCGUCACUGCAGUCAUCCUCGCGCUGCUCGGGACGAGGCUUGUCGCGUCCCCGGGGAGGCCGGUCCUUGCCACCUCGGGCUUGACCGCGACCCCCCGCGGGUUCUCCUUUCUCGCCGCCGCUGGCUGCGACCCGGCCCGCUCCGUUGCGGGGGUUGUUCGGGCAAUCUCAGGAGAGGUGCCCGAUAUCCCCGUAGUUGAAGCAGGCCCCAGCAGCACGGCGCUCCUCAUGGCGCUGCUCGCACUUCUCCUUGAUGGUCUGGAGAGUGCAGCAGUCCUGCACGUCAUGGGUGGCGUUGGUGUGGAUGGGACAGCGCGCGCCCGCUGCUGGCUUGCUACCCGAUGCUCCCUCGGACGCCGCCUUCUUGGUGGGCCUCUGGGGAGCCCCCGGUUUCGCAGCAAGUACUUACUUCCCGCCGUGCUUCUCCACCAACUUGGUGGCAAGCUCAGGCGCUAGGUGCCCUUCCUCAGCCAUCGCGCACCUCGUGGUCCAGAUCCGGUGCGUGUUCAGUUUCUCACGCAUCUUCGGGUCACGGGCUAUGAUGGCGUAAGUGUUGAUGAUGGCGACCGCUUCCGCCUCUGGGAUGGAGUAGGAGUUGGAUGCGCUCCUCGCUCUGGCCGGCCAACAGCCGCAAGGCGAGGGCGUCCCGGUAGGCUCCGGCCGCCGGCCAAACCCGGAGCGCGGAGACGCGCCCCGCGCCUCGCUGCCGAGGGAAAACCCUCCCCCGCAGGGAGGCCAAGGAAAUGGGGACCCAGAAGGAUCCUCGGACUCGUCGCCCACCGUCGCGCAGGGUGACGCGCGUGGCAUUCUGAAUGCCCACCAGCAAGAGGAUCUGUGCCAGCGCUUGGAGCGCCGGCGUCGGCACGAGGUAGAGCGCCCGCGCCCGGAGGAGCAGGAGGAUGCUCCCAUGGGCCCGAAGGACGGCUGCAUCGCGUUCACGUGCGAGCUGCGCCGAGUGACAUGGCCCCGCAAGUUCCCCGCGCCAGCGCUCGGCACGUACGACAGGACCACGAACCCCAAGGAUUUCGUCUUGACCUACAUGUUGGGGAUGCAUGCCAUCACCGCCGACGACAAGGUCAGGGCCAACUGGUUCCCGAUGGUCCUGAAAGGAUCAGCGAGAACCUGGCUGCUCAACUUGCCCGCCGGGUACAUCGCCACUUGGGCGGACCUGCGCGAGCAGUUGGUGAGCACGUUCCAGGGCGGCUACAAGCGCCCGGGAACCAUGGCGGAACUGCACACCAUUGUGCAGAAGCCAGAAGAGACGUUGCGGAGCUUCGUCAACCGCUUCUCGAACCUCUCCUACUCUAUCCCGAAGGCGGAGGCAGCUGCCAUCGUCAACACCUUCGCCAUCAACGUCCGCGAACCCAAGAUGCGCGAGAAGCUGAGCACGCAUCGGAUCCGGACAACGCAGGAUCUAUAUGCCCUGGCACACAAGUGCGCCAUGGCCGAGGAAGGGCGCUUAGCGCCCGAGCAAGCAGCCAAGGCUGCGACGAGCCCUGGCGAGGGUUCGCAGAAGAAGGGUUCCCGCAAGCGCAGCGGGAAGCAGGGUCUCGCUGCGGACUCGGGGGCUCCUAUCGCGAGGCCUGCCAAGAAGGCCUCGCCGGGUGGCAGGUGUGGUCGCAAGCAGGGUGACGCGCCCCGCUGCCCCAUCCACAACAACUCCACCCACGACGCGCAGGACUGGUGCAUCCUGCAGGGAAUCAAGCAGCGGUGGGAGCAGCGAUAGGAGGAGCGCCGCACUGCUGGCGCCUGCUUCAACUACGGAGACAUCGGGCAUCUCUCCCCAGAUUGCCCGAACGACCCCAGAGCAGGGCCGAGGCCUGCCGGCGGCGGCGCCGGCAGGGACGAACCCCAGGGGGGACGCAGCCAGGCCCGCGCGGGCAGGGAGCGCCCUCCCCGGGAACGCGACAGGGCUCGCGCUGAGGAGCAGCGCGAGUCCGAUUGAGCUGGCGGCGACGAGCCAGGCUUCCAGGAGCCUCGCGGCAUCGCCUGCAUCCAUGGGGGAGCCUAUGCUCUCCCAUCCCAUGCCGCGGUGAAGCGCCUCACCCGGGAUUUGUGCGCGCUACUGCCGGACGCGGAGCCGCAGCAGCCGUUGAGGUGGUCGCACGUGCCGAUCAUCUUCAGCGCUGAUGAUCACCCCGCGCGGCAGCUGGGUUCAGGGGUAAUAUCCUUCGUCGUCUCACCGAUCAUCAGCAGCAUGAUGGUGACAAAGGUGCUGGUGGACAACAGAGCGGGGCUUAACCUCCUGUCCGGCAGGCUGGUGGAGAAACUGCAGUUGCCGGUGGAGCAGCUGAAGCCCACCGACCCGUUCCGGGGGGUUAACCCCGGGAUCGUGCGCCGUUUGGGGCGCAUCACGCUGCCGGUAACCUCUGGGUCCCGGGAAGCGUUCUGGACCGAACACAUAGUGUUCGACAUGGCGCACACCUUGUUGCCCUACAACGGGAUCCUUUGUCGGCCAGCGCUGAUCAAGUUCAUGGCAGCUACGCAUUGCGUCUAUGGUGUGAUGAAGAUGCCAUCCGUAUUUGGAGUUUUCUCCAGCAAGUGCGACCUCAAGGACGCGGCCUGGUGCGUGGGCGAGGUCGUCAGGGCCGCCGCUGCAGCUGACGUUGGCGACAAAGAUGUUGCCGGGGACGGCAGCUUGCCAGGCGAUGCCCCGGCAACUAAGAAGGCCCGCGCUACCCCACGAGAGUUUGCCGGGGGAAGUGCAGGCUCGAGCUCGUGCCCCGGCAAGGGCCAGAAGCUCCGGGAGGAGGCCGCCAAGGUGAAGAAGCUGCCCAUCCAAGCCAGCAACAAGGAACGCACCGUCACCGUCGGUGCGAAUCUUACUACCGAAUAGGAAAGCGCCCUCCUCACUUUCCUCCGGGAGAACGCCGACGUGUUCGCUUGGGAGCGGUCGGAUCUUCUCGCAGUCCCUAAGGAGGUGAUUGAGCAUCGGCUCGCGGUGCGCCCGGACGCGCGCCCUGCAAAGCAGAAGAUUCGGCGGCAAGCACAAGAGCGUAAAGAUUUCAUCAAGCAGGAGGUGGACAAGCUCAAGGCUGCCGGGGCUAUCAGGGAAGUUCUCUACCCCACCUGGUUAGCUAACCCUGUAGUAGUACCUAAAGCAGGGAACAAGCUUCGCAUGUGCGUAGAUUUUACUGAUCUUAAGCGUGCAUGUCCCAAGGAUCUCUUCCCUGUACCCCGUAUCGAUCAAAUAGUUGAUUCUACCGCUGGCUGUGACUUGCUGAGUUUUCUAGAUGCUUUUUCUGGCUACCAUCAAAUUAAGAUGGCGGUCGAAGACGAGGAAAAAACAGCGUUCAUCACCCCAGUUGGCUGCUAUUGUUAUACAUGCAUGCCUUUUGGGUUGAAGAACGCGGGCUCAACAUUUCAGCGCGCGCUGCGCGAAUGUUUGGGACCACAGCUCGGCCACAAUGCAGAGGCCUACAUGGACGGCAUCGCCAUUAAAUUGAAGCGCAGGGACUCGCUGAUUGAUGACCUGCGGGAAACAUUUGAUAACCUCCGCAGGAUCAAGCUCAAGCUGAACCCCGAGAAGUGCACCUUCGGUGUGAACUCCGGUCAGCUUCUGGGUUUCUUGGUUUCACACAGGGGGAUACAAGCCAACCCGAGCAAGAUAGAAGCCAUAGAGAAGAUGGAGGCUUCCAACAAGGUGAAAGAUGUCCAGCGCCUCAACGGCUGCGUUGCCGCGUUGGGACGCUUCAUCUCACGGCUGGGCGAACGCGCCCUGCCUUUUCUUCAAGGUGAUGAAGAAGAAGGGUCCGGUUGACUGGAUUCCCGAGGCCGAGGCGGCGUUCCGGGAACUAACACAGUACCUGAGGUCGACGCCCGUCCUCGUCGCCCCCAAGCCGGGCGAGCCGCUGCUACUCUACCUAGCGGCGACUGACCAGGUGGUCAGCUCGGUGCUGGUUGCCGAGAGGGAGGAAGAUUUUCCAAGGACUGAGGCUGUGGGGCAGGGGGCUGAGCGGCCCCCCCCAACCGCCUCGGACCCGGGAACCACCCCCCAGCCGGCAACUCCUGCACCACGUAAGCGAUUAGUGCAGCACCCGGUGCUGCGUGACGCGCGAAUGAGGUACCCGCAAGUGCAGAAGCUUCUCUUGGGGAUUCUCCUUGCGUCCCGCAAGCUGCGCCAUUACUUCCAGGCGCACCGCGUCACGGUGGUGUCGUGGUUUUUCCUUGAGCGAGCCCUCACCAACCGUGAAGCCACCGGGAGGGUGGCCAAAUGGAGGAUGGAGCUGUCGGAGUUUGACCUCCACUUCACCAACUCCAAGAGCAUCAAGAGUGCGGCUCUGGUGGACUUCGUUGCCGAGUGGACGUCAACAAACGCCGGAGAGGAGGAGCCGGGGACCAGCCUGCCCGGCAAGCUAGACAAAGGGCACUGGGUCCUCUACUUCGACGACGCAUUCAGUCUCCAAGGAGCUGGCGCCGGGGUCGUCAUCGAGUCACCAACAAGGGACCAGUUGAGGUUCGCUGUCCAACUCGAUUUCCCGAACUCCACCAACAACACGGCGGAGUACAAGGGCUUGCUCGCUAGGUUACGGGCAGCCACCGCCCACGACAUCAAGUGCUUGGUUGUUCGCAGGGACUCCCAGCUUGUGACAACCAGGUUAACAAGGACUACGAUUGCCCGCAGAUGGCGCCGUACGUGGAGGAAGUCCGCAAGCUAGAACGCAAGUUCAAGGGUUUGUGUUUCGAGCACGUCAAGCAAAAGGACAACUUCACUGCUGACGAGCUGGCCAAGAUGGCAGCAGAGCGCCGGAAGCCCCCGACGGGGUGUUCUGCUAGAACCAAGCGGCUCCAUCAGUCGCCCCCGAGCUGGUCGCCGGGGACGUCCCUCUGGCAACUGAAGGGACCCCCGCAACAGCAGGGGUCUAUGCCGCUGACAUAGCGGCAUGCGUAGGUAGGGAGACCCCUCCCUGGGCGAUGGAAAUCGCCCGCUACCUGUAGGAGGGAGCCCUCCCGGAGGAUGAUGCCGCCGCAUAACGAGUGGCCCGGCAAGCCAAGAUGUACGCCGUGGUGGACGGGAGCCUCUACCGCAGGCGUGCAAAUGGAGUCAAGCUCAUCUGCGUGCCGCGAGACGAGGGGCGCGCGCUGCUGGAAGAGAUACACCAAGGCACAUGCUCCCACCAUGUGGCCUCCCGGACGUUGGCUGGAAGGGCGUUUCGGCACGGUUUUGUCGCACCAGUGGCACCCGGGGUACCACCGCUGCGCGACGCGCGGGCCCUGUUCCCGGGAACCCGGGAAGGUCUCAUCCCGGGGAGCGUCUAUGAGCUCCCCGGCAAGCUACCAGCCCGAAAGGGCUAGCGGGGCUUCGGGGAAUAUUCCCGCCUGGGCACUUCCCGGGAAGCCACUUCCCGGGAGGGGGUUCCCGGGUGCGUUGGGCCCGGGUGCUUCCCGCCUCGGGCGUGGGGCCAGUGGACAGCGCCACGCGGGCGCGUGGCGGGCACGGGACGCGCGGUCCCACCAAGGCAAGGAGUAAGGCGCACGGCUUAGCAAACGAGCCAACCGACGGGUAGUUACCCGUCCGAUCCAAGGAACAGUGGUUGUCUAAUCCUACCCUAAGGUCUUAGGCCCCUAGCAGCGGAGGUGGCACCACGCCACCAGCUCACCAGGGGAGUUGCAUGCCUCCCCGUUGGACACUUGUAGCUCAUGCACCGUGGCACAUGUGGCAUCCUCUUAUGCAUAAAAGGAGGACCCAUGCCGACGGUCAAGGGGUUGGUUGGUUGGUCAGUUAGCUAGUUCGGACGAAGCUCGCUCGACAGACGCUUAGUGGCUCCAGUAGGCAGCCAGCACAGAGCGGUGAGGAGUACCUAGCCACUGAGAGAAAGCCCGGGAGCUUGCCCGGCAACUUGUAAGCAUUUGAUCUGUAAUCAAUAUCAGCUCAGACAAGCAGAACAAAGGGUUUUACACCUCCGGGUGGCCCGAACCUGGGUACAAAACGUGCGUGCAUCUGUUCUUGAACUAGCGCGUACCCCUAGCUCUUCGUCUCGCCGGCCCUGUAGGGCCUCAUCGGCCAUGCCGGCGAUCACCGGGUCUCCGCCCCAGACGCCCCUAACGAACCUAAAAGGGGGACGUGGCCGCACGCCCCCGGUGUCGGAGCACCGAGCGACGACAUCUGGCGCGCCAGGUAGGGGGCGUGGGAGUGGACAACGCCGGAGAUCGCCGACAGCAGAGUUUCCAUCGGCAUCGGCUUCGCUUUUCUUCGCCGACGAGUCUCGUCACCAUGCCCCCCAAGCGGGCUGGUGACUCACGCAUAGACCCGCGUGAGGCCCCAACGGCGCACACGCGGUCCCACGACGUGCGACCCGAGUCGGGGGCUCAGGAGAACCCCGAACCCUCGAGGGUGCAGCAAACGCAGCUACCUCCGCCGCCUCCUCGGCCGUCGACUGACAAUCGGCCGAGGGGACCGGCUACCCCCAGUGCCGGGGGCAGUCGGGCGAGCACGCACGGCGUCGCCCGGGCCAGCCAAUGGGUUGAGUCGCGGCCCGCGGACGCCCCGCCGCAGCGGCACCAGGAGCACGCCGCGUCACGGGCAAACCCUGGGGGUUCACACCCUACACACCCGGAGGCGUCCGGGGCUAGGGCGGGAAGCAGCCGUUCAGGAAACCGGCUGCCCCCCGUCCAAACCCCGACUGAAGCCAUCAUCGCCGCGCGCGUCAUGGUUUGGUACGAGCCGCAGCAGGGCACGUCGGCGCACGAGACGUGAGGCGAGGAGUUGGAAGCGCUUCUCGCCCUGGCCGCCCAGCAGCCACAAGGCAAGGGCGCCCCAGUAGGCUCCAGCCGCGGGCAGAACCCAGAGCGCGCAGACACGCCACCCGCCUCACGACAGGGGGAGAACCCUCCCCCUCCUCAGCGGAGUCAAGGAGACGGGGGUUGGAGGGGUCCUCGAACUCAUCGCCCACCGUUCCGGAGGGCGAUGCGUGUGCCAUCUUGAAUACCCGCCAGAAGGAGGAUCUGCGCCGACGCUCAGCAGGCGCGAGGUGGAGCGCCAGCGCCCACAGGAGCAGGAAGACGCUCCCAUGGGCCCCAAGGAUGGCUGCAACGCGUUCACGCGCGAGCUGCGGCGGGUGAUGUGGCCUCGUAAGUUCCGAGCGCCAGCGCUCGGUACGUACGACGGGACCGCCGCCGACAAGGUCAGGGCGAACUGGUUCCCGAUGGUCCUGAAAGGAUCAGCGCGAACCUGGUUGCUCAACCUGCCCGCCGGGUCCGUCGCUACUUGGGCGGACCUGCGCGAGCAGCUGGUGAGCGCGUUCCAGGGCGGCUAUAAGCGCCCGGGAACCAUGGCGGAGCUGCACACUAUCGUGCAGAAACCGGGAGAGACGUUGCGGGCCUUCGUCAACCGCUUCUCCAACCUUUCCUAUUCCAUCCCGGAGGCGGAGGCGGCCGCCAUUAUCAACACCCCGCUGCCCCAUCCACAGCAACUCCAUCCACGACAUGCAGAAUUGCCGCGUUCUGCAGGGGAUCAAGCAGCGGCGGGAGCCGCGCCACGAGGAGCACCGCGCCGCCAGCGCCUGCUUCAAUUGUGGCGACAUCGGGCAUCUCUCCCGGUAUUGCCCGAACGACCCCAAAGCGGGUCCGAGGCCGGCCGGCGGUGAUGCGGGCAGGGGUGAACCCCAAGGGGGGCGCGGUCAGCCCCACGCUGGGCGGGAACGCCCUCCUCGGGGACGUGACAGGGCGCGUGCUGCGGAGCAGCGCGAGUCCGACUAUACCGGUGGCGACGAACCGGGCUUCCAGGAGCCUCGUGGCGUCACCUGCAUCCAUGGGGGAGCUUACGCUCUCCUGUCCCACACCGCGGUGAAACGUCUCACCCGCGACAUGUGCGCGCUGCUGCCGGAUGCGGAGCCGCGACAGCCACUGAGGUGGUCGCACGUGCCGAUCACCUUCAGCGCCGACGAUCACCCAGCACGACAGUUGGGUUCAGGGGUAAAACCCUUCGUCAUCUCGCCGAUCAUUAGUAAUAUGACGGUGACCAAGGUGCUGGUGGACAACAGAGCGGGGCUUAACCUCCUAUCCGCCAGGCUGGUGGAAAAGCGCCAGCUGCCGAUGGAGCAGGUGAAGCCCACCAAACCAUUCCGGGGGGUGAACCCCGGGAUCGUGCGCCCACUGGGACGCAUCAUGCUGCCAGUCACCUUCGGGUCCCGGGAAGCGUUCAGGACCGAGCACCUAGUGUUCGACGUGGCGCAUACCCCGUUGCCCUACAACGGGAUCCUUGGUCGGCCAGCGCUGAUCAAGUUUAUGGCGGCUACGCAUUCCGCCUAUGGCGUGAUGAAGAUGCCGUCCGUCUAUGGGGUCCACUCCAUUAGGUGCGACCUCAAAGACGCGGCUUGGUGCGUUGGCGAGGUCGUCCGGGCCGCUGCUGCAGCUGACGCCGACGACGAGGAUGUCGUCGAGGACGACGGCUUGCCGGGCGAUGCCCCGGCAACAAAGAAGACCCGUGCUAGCCCGCAGGGGCUUGCCGGGGGAGGCGCAGGCUCGAGCUCGCGCCCCGGCAAGAGGCAGGGGCUCCGGGAGGAGGCCGCCAAAGUGAAGAUGCAGCCCCUCCAAGCCGGCGACAGGGAGCGCACCGUUACCGUCGGUGCAAACCUUGCCGCCGAAUAGAAAAGCGCUCUCAUCACCUUCCUCCAGGAUAACGCCGACGUGUUCACCUGGCAACCGUCGGACCUUCCCGGAGUCCCCAGGGAGGUGAUUGAGCAUCGACUCGCGGUGCGCCCGGAUGCGCACCCCACCAAGCAGAAGAUCCGGCGGCAAGCACAAGAGCGGAAAGAUUUCAUCAAGCAAGAGGUGGGCAAGCUCAGGGCUGCCGGGGCAAUCAGGGAAGUUUUAUACCCCACUUGGCUGGCUAACCCUGUAGUAGUGCCUAAAGCAGAGAGUAAGCUUCGCAUGUGCGUAGAUUUUUCCGACCUUAACUGUGCAUGCCCCAAGGAUCCCUUCCCUGUAUCCCGUAUCGACCAGAUAGUUGAUUCUACCGCUGGUUGUGACUUGCUGAGUUUUCUGGAUGCUUUCUCCGGCUACCAUCAAAUCAAGAUGGCGGUCGAGGAUGAGGAAAAGAUAGCGUUUAUCACCCCGGUUGGCUGCUAUUGCUAUACAUGCAUGCCUUUUGGGUUGAAGAACGCGGGCUCCACAUUCCAGCGCGCCCUGCACGAAUGUUUGGGGCCACAGCUAGGCCGCAACGUGGAGGCCUCCGCAGGAUCAAGCUCAAGCUGAACCCCGAUAAGUGCACCUUCGGUGUCAACUCCGGGCAGCUUCUGGGUUUCUUGGUUUCACACCGGGGGAUACAGGCCAACCCGACCAAAAUAGAAGCCAUCGACAAGAUGGAGGCCCCCCGCAAGGUGAAAGAUGUCCAGCGCCUCAACAGCUGUGUUGCGGGGCUGGGACGCUUCAUCUCCAGGCGGGGCAAGCGUGCCUUGCCUUUCUUCCGGGUAAUGAAGAAGAAGGGUCCAGUCGACUGGACUCUCGAGGCCGAGGCGGCGUUCCAGGAACUCAAGCAGUACCUGAGGUCGCCGCCCAUCCUCGUCGCCCCUAAGCUAGCCGAGCCGCUGCUACUCUACCUAGCGACGACUGACCAGGUGAUCAGCUCGGUGCUGGUUGUCGAGAGGGAGGAAGAUGUCCCGGGGACUGGGGCUGCGGGGCAGGGGGCUGAGCGGCCUCCGGCAACCGCCUCAGACCCGGGGACUGCCCCCGAGUCGACAACCUUGGCACCACGGAAGCGGUUGGUGCAACACCCGGUGUACUUCGUUAGUACGGUGCUGCGCAACGCGCGGACAAGGUACCCGCAAGUACAGAAGCUCCUUCUAGGGAUUCUCCUUGCGUCCCGCAAGCUACGCCACUAUUUUCAAGCGCACCGCGUCACGGUGGUGUCCGGGUUCUGCCUUGAGCGAGCCCUCACCAACCGUGAAGCCACCGGGAGGGUGGCCGAAUGGAGGAUGGAGCUGUCGGAGUUCGACCUCCACUUCACCAACUCCAAGAGCAUCAAGAGUGCGGCUCUGGUGGACUUCGUCGCCGAGUGGAUGUCAACGAACGCCGGAGAGGAGGAGCCGGGGACCAGCCUGCCCGGCAAGCUGGACAAAGGGCACUGGGUCCUCUACUUCGACGGCGCAUUCAGUCUCCAAGGAGCUGGCGCCGGGGUCGUCAUCGAGUCACCAACAGGGGACCAGUUGAGGUUCGCUGUCCAACUCGAUUUCCCGAACUCCACCAACAUUUGAUCCGUAAUCAAUAUCAGCUCAGACAGGCAGGACGUAGGGUUUUACACCUCCGGGUGGCCCGAACCUGGGUAAAAAACGUGCGUGCAUCUGUUCUUGGACUAGCGCGUACCCCUAGCACUUCGUCUCGCCCGCCCCGUAGGGCCUCAUCGGCCGUGCCGGCGAUCACCGGGUCUCCGCCCCAGACGCCCCUACCGAACCUAAAAGGGGGAAGUGGCCGCACGCCCCCGGUGUCGGAGCACCGAGCGACGACAGGUUUUUACUGGCCCACGGCCCUAGCCGAUGGGGAGCAGCUGGUGAAGACGUGCAAAGCAUGCCAGUUCCACUCGAAGAAGAGCAACCAGCCGGCGCAGGCCCUACACGUCAUCCCUUCCUCGUGGCCGUUCACGGUCUGGGGGCUCGAUAUCGUCGGUAAGUUACCGAGAGCAGUUGGUGGUUACGAAUAUUUGUUCGUGGCCGUCGACAAGUUCUCCAAGUGGGUGGAAGUGGAACCAGUGCGCAAGGUGACUGCCCAGGAGGCCGUCAAGUUCUUCAAAAGCAUUGUGUGCCGAUUUGGUGUGCCUAACGGCAUCAUCACCGACAACGGCACGCAGUUCACGAGCGCAGUGUUCCAGGCCUAUUGUGAGGCAUGCACACCAAGUUACACUUCGUGUCCGUUGCUCAUCCGAGGAGUAACGGGCAGGCGGAGCGAGCCAACGCAGAAGUGCUGCGGGGGCUGAAGACGAGAACCUUUGACAAGCUCAAAGGCCACGGGAAACACUGGGUUGAAGAACUCCAGCCCGUGCUGUGGUCAAUCAAGACCACACCUAGUACGCGUACGGCAACACCAGCCAACACGAGCAAAGGGUGGACGAUCUAAACUUCAUCGAAGAGCUUCGAUGCCGGGCUGCUGUGCGAGCCGCGCGCUACCAGCAGGGACCCCGUCGUUAUCACGACAGGUGAGUCCGUCCUCGGGGGCUCGAGAACGGAGACCUUGUCCUGCGCCGGAUACAAGGAACGAAGGCCGGGAACAAGUUGACUCCGAAAUGGGAGGGGCCCUUCCGGGUAGUGCAGGUGACCAGACCGGGGGCUGUCAGGACUGGAAACCGAAGAUGGCUUGCCGGUGCCAAAUAGCUGGAAUAUUGAGCACUUGCACAAGUUCUACCCGUGAAGCGGCGGAGCCCGACCCUCAGGUGAUGCCGCCGAUGCAUACCUCUCGAACUAGUGUAGCCGAGCAGCCCCCGUGUGUAAACCACUAGUUAUUGUGAAUAAAGAUAAGUGUUUCUUCCCUGAACUUCAAAGUUGCCUCGUUUAUUUGUGUGUUCCCCCCAUCUUCUGUCUCCUGCUUUUGGUGCACGGAAGUGUCUUUCCAUACUUGGUUGUGAGCAGGGGGCUGCUGGAGCCUCGAAAACAAAAACCUCGUUGCCGGAUCGCUCCGACACGGGACAUGCAGUUGUCGGCUUUCCCGCAACGUGCAUCAGGGGACAUGCAGUUGCCGUGUUCCCCGCAACGUGCAUCACGGGACAUGCAGUUGCCGGGUUCCCCGCAACGUGCAUCACGGGACAUCCUGCUGGUCCUUGAUGGCGUCUAUGAACCGGUGUCCUCGUUCGAAGACGCUCGGAUCCCAAGUGAUGGGAUUCCAAGCCACCCCAGCAAGGGUGCCGAGGUCGGUGUUGGGGAAGGCCGCUGAUGGCGACGAAGCCCCCUCCGACAUCGUAGAACGGUGCGGGGCAUCAUCUUCUCGCUCCGGGGCGUCCGGUCGCCCUUCCCCGGCCACUUCCCCUUCACCCGUACCUGAGAGCUCCGGGGCUGGAGAAGCCACCGUGCCCCCGGCGAGUGCCGUCUCUUGCUGGGCGGCAGGCAAGUCCCCACCAGCUGCGUCUGCGGUAGCCGGUGCGUUCGCUGCCAUGGCCGGUGCAGUAGGGCUUGGUGCGGGAGCCGAUGCCGGCUCCUCCGCCGCCCCCGUGAUCUCGACGUCGGGGUCAAGAUCAACCACGGUAGCUCCCGCUCCCGGUGCGGGCGCGCUUGUGCCUACAGCAACAAGGAGUGUGAGGAUCGACAAGUAAAAGAGCUAUUGGAAGCGGACAAGGGCAGUCGGGGCGGUUACCCUGCACGGCAGAUGGACUUGCGAGGGGGGCCUCCCCCGCCUCACCUGUGCCGGCGGGAGCCUCCGAGAGGCUUGCCGUAGGCGAGCUGCCGCUUGCUGAAAAAGAAGGUACGUUUGUAUGGUUAACUGACAACUAAAAAUGCAGCAAAGGAGGAGCGAAGGAGCCGUACCAGUCGCCGGCCCCGCCCCCGUUGGGGCUGGGUCAUUGGCAGGCACGAUGACGACGCCGCUGCCGGCGAGUCAGUCCUCGGGGUGUUGCGCCGGAGCUCGAAGCCCCGGAAGACCCCCCGAGCGGGCAACACCGUGGGUGCCCGCGGGGUCGCUGCAACCCGGGGCGUCGCGGGGAUCGGUGACGGAGCCACCGCGGCGUGAGGGGCCAAUCCCGGGAGGGCUGCCGCUGCGGUCCCAGUAGCUGCUGCUACUGAAUCCGUUGCCUGGUCGCGGAUGGUUCCCGCCGAGGCAUCGGCAGAUGCCCCCGGGGUAGCUGCUGCCGCGGUGCUGGCGGCCGCCGCUGGGGCGGGUGUCGCCGCCGAGGCUCCGGCAACCCUUGCGGAUGUGGUCGCCGCCGAAGUACCGACGGGCGCCCCUGAAGUGACUGCCGCCGCGGGGCUGGCGGCCGCUGCCGAGGCGGAUGUCACCGCUGGGGAAGGUGUCGCCGCGGCUGCCGGGGAGAUAGCCACAGCCGCUGCGUACGCUCUUGAUCUCCGAACGAUCAGGGGCGCAUCGUCGCUGUCCUCAUCAUCGUCGUCCACCGGAACGACUUCUGGGGACGCUGUAGCCUGGCCUGCCUCGUCAUCCAGGGACUCGAGGGAGGGCCAGCUGAUCUCCGACUCGCCCCCGCUCCCCUCGAGCACCUGCUUCCCGCGAGGUGCUGGCAAGGGAGCGAGGGUGGUCCGGGUGGGGGUAUCGUCCAUCAACCCCCACUCGUUGCAGGGCGGGAAGGCGGCGACGAUGUCGUUGAGCGCCGCAACACCGGCAUGGAGGGAAAAGACCUCCGGCGGGAACCUCGUUGAUUGGCAGGUUUCGCCGGAGAUUCCCCUCACCCACGUCUUGAGGGUUUCCAAAUCCACGCCGUCCUGAUGGAGGCGUGUCCUGUUCUCAGGACCCAUGUACAUCCACGCGGGCUGGGAGCGCAGUUGGAGCGGCGCUAUGCGCCAGUUGAUGAAGGUACACGCCACGUCCACAUCGGUGAGCCCCGCUAGCGGCAAUGCCUUAAUCUUCUCCAUGAUGGGGAGGAGAUCGGCGUCGCGGUAGUACCUGUCCUGCCAGCCGCUGUGGGGCUGCGGCAGCUCCGUGGGCGAGAGGAUGAACUCCUGGGGGUCCUCCACCCGGACCCAGCACCAGUCUCCCCGCACUCCUUCUCGAUCUUUUUUCCCGACCGAACGAUGAACUCAGACUUCAUCUGGUCGCGGGCACGGAACACCACCCCCGACGACUUCGCCUUCGCGUUAUCGAUUCGGGAGGGGGUUCCCGCCUGGGCACCUCUCGAGAAGCCAGUUGCCGGGAGGGGGUUCCCGGGUGUGGUCAGGCCUGGGCGCCUCUCGGGAAGCCACUUGCCAGGAGGAGGGGUUCCCAGGCGCAGGCUCCCGCCACAAGGGUGGGGCCCAGCAGGAAGGAGGUGCUUUAGGAGAGCGGGGGCGAGUCGGAGAUCAGCUAGCCCUCCAUCCAGUCCCUGGAUGACGAGGCAGGCCAGCCUGCGGCAUCCCAGGCAGUCAUCCCUGUGGACGAUGACGAGAAGAAAAGUGAUGACGCGCCCCUGAUCGUGCGGAGAUCAAGGAUGUACGCAGCGGCCGCGGCUCCCUCCACAGCGCCUGCGGCGAUACCCGCCCCAGUGGCGGCCUCCGCUCCUGCCGCGUCAUCCGCCCCGGCAGCAGCACCCGCCGUCCGGCGGCGGCUUCUAGCUCUGCAGUGGCAGCCGCCUUAGGGGCGUCCGCCGGUACCUCGGCGGCGACCAUACCCGGGGGGGUCGCCGGACCCCCGGCGGCGACCGCCUGCGACCCGGCAGCGAUUCCUUCAAAAGCAGCUGCCAGGGCCGCGGCGACAACCCCGCCGGGGGCAGUCCAAGACGCCGCGGCAGCCUCGUCGUCGGUUCCCGCAGCGCCCCGGGCUGCAGCAACCCCACGGGCGCCCACGGCGCCGCUCGCUCGGGGGCUCUUCCGGGGCUUCGCGCUCUGGCGUAAUCCCUCGAAGGCUGAUUCGCCGGCGAGCGCUAGCAAGAGGGGGAGGGACGACUCCCCGCCCGCCGCGCCAAGCAAGAAGGCGCGCGCGGACACCGGCAGCGCUGCCGACCUCGACGUCAUUGGGGCCCGUAGCGCCGCCAUCGCACCCGCCGGCGGCCCAACUCCAACAGAGGUGGUGCCGGCAACAGGUACGGCUCCAUCCUGUCUCCUUUGCCACAUUUUCGAUUGUUAGUUAAUCACAUGAUGCUCUUGGAGGUGGUGAAGCGCAGAUUGAAUUCUGACAGCUCCAUCCUCCAUUUGGCCACCCUUCCAGUACAGGGAAGGCAUCCUUGGGACAUGCACGGUUUAGAUCAGUAAAAUCCACGCACAUGCGAAGCUUAUUCCCUGCUUUAGGAACUACUACAGGGUUGGCUAACCAAGUGGGGUACAGAACUUCCCUGAUAGCCCCAGCAGCCUUGAGCUUGUCCACCUCUUGUUUGAUGAAAUCUUUGCGCUCUUGUGCUUGCCGCCGAAUCUUCUGCUUGACGGGGUGGGCGUCCGAACGCACCGCGAGCCGAUGCUCAAUCACCUCCCUGGGGACUCCGGGAAGAUCUGACGGCUCCCAAGAGAACACGUCGGCAUUCUCCCGGAGGAAAGUGAUGAGGGCGCUUUCCUAUUCGGCAGCGAGGUUUGCACCGACGGUGACGGUGCGUUCCUUGUUGCCGGCCUGGAGUGGCAGCUUCUUCACCUUGGCGGCCUCCUCCCGGAGCUUCUGGCCCUUGCCGGGGCACGAGCUCGAGCCUGCACUUCCCCCGGCAAGCACUUGCGGGGUAGCGCGGGCCUUCUUCAUUGCCGGGUCGUCGCCUGGCGAGCCUCCGUCUCCGGCAACAUCCUCGUCACCGGCGUCAGCUGCGGCGGCAGCACUGACGACCGCGUCCUUGAGGUCGCACCUGAUGGAGAGAACUCCAUACAUGGACGGCAUCUUCAUCACGACGUAGGCGCAAUGCGUAGCCGCCAUGAACUUGAUCAGUGCCAGCCGACCAAGGAUCCCGUUGUAGGGUAACAGGGUGUGCACCACGUCGAACACUAUGUGUUCGGUCCUGAAUGCCUCCCGAAACCCGAAGGUCACCGGCAGCGUGAUGCGCCCCAGGGGGCACACGAUCCCGGGGUUCACCCCCCAGAAAAGGUCGGUGGGCUUCAGCUGCUCUACCGGCACCUGGAGCCUCUCCACCAGCCUGGCGUACAAGAGGUUGAGCCCCGCUCCGUUAUCCACCAGUACCUUGGUCACCGUCAUGUUGCUGAUGAUCGGUGAGACGACGAAGGGUAUUACCCCUGAACCCAGCUGCCGCGCUGGGUGAUCAUCAGCGUUGAAGGUGAUCGGCACGUGCGACCACCUCAGCGGCUGCUGCGGCUCCACGUCCGGCAACAGCGCGCACACGUCGCGGGUGAGGCGCUUCACCGCGGCAUGGGAUGGGAGAACAUAGGCUCCCCAUGGAUGCAGGCGACGCCACGAGGCUCCUGGAAGCCCGGCUCGUCACCGCUAGUGCAGUUGGACUCGCGCUACUCCACAACGCGAGCCCUGUCACGUCCCCGGGGAGGGUGCUCCCUGCCCGCGCGGGCCUGGCCGCGUCCCCCCUGGGGAUCGUCCCUGCCGGCGCCGCCGCCGGCAGGCCUCGGCCCCGCUCUGGGGUCGUUCGGGCAAUCUCGGGAGUGAUGUCCGAUGUCGCCAGGGCUCGCAGCAGCCUUGGCUGCUAGCUUGGGCGCUAAGCGCCCUUCCUCGGCCAUGGCGCACUUGUGCGCCAGGGCGUACAGAUCCUGUGUCGUUCGGAUCCGAUGCGUACUCAGCUUCUCGCGCAUCUUGGGAUCGCGGACGUUGAUGGCGAAGGUGUUGAUGAUGGCAGCUGCCUCCGCCUCCGGGAUAGAGUAGGAGAGGUUGGAGAAGAGGUUGACGAAGCUCCGCAAUGUCUCUCCCGGCUUCUGCACUAUGGUGUGCAGUUCCGCCAUGGUUCCCGGGCGCUUGUAGCCACCCUGGAACGUGCUCACAAACUGCUCGCGCAGAUCCGCCCACGUGGCGAUGGACUCGGCAGGCAGGUUGAGCAGCCAGGUUCUCGCUGAUCCUUUCAGGACCAUCAGGAACCAGUUGGCCCUGACCUUGUCGUCGGCGCCGAUGGCAUGCAUCCCCAAUGUGUAGGUCAGGAGGAAAUCCUUGGGAUUCAUGGUUCCGUCGUACGUGCCGAGCGCUGGCGCUCAGAACUUGCGGGGCCAUGUCACCCGGCGCAGCUCACGCGUGAACGCUAUGCAGCCGUCCUCGAGGCCCAUGGGAGGAUCUUCCUGCUCUUGCGGGCGUUGACGCUCUACCUCGCGCUGGCGCCGGCACUCUAAGCGCGGGCGCAGAUCUUCUUGCUGGCGGACAUUCAAGAUGCCGCGCGCAUCACCCUGUGUGACCGUGGGUGACGAGUCCGAGGACCCCUUCGGGUCCCUGUCUCCCUGGCCUCCCUGCGGGGGAGGGUUCUCCCCCUGUCGUGAGGCGCGGGGCGCCUCUCCGCGCUCCGGGUUCUGCCCGUGGCCGGAGCCUGCCGGGACGCCCUCGCCUUGCGGCUGUUGGGCGGCAAGCGCGAGCAGUGCGUCCAACUCCUCGCCCCAUGUCUCAUGCGCCGGCGUGCCCUGCUGCGGUUGUCCUCAGCCCGCGACUCGACUUGCUGGCCGGUGCGGGCAGCACCAUGCCCGCUCGCGCGGCUAGCCCCAGCGCUGGGGGCCGCCGGCCCCCUCAACCAGUUGUCGGCAGACGACCGAGGAGGCGGGGAGGCAGCUGUGAUUGCUGCACUCGUGAGGGCUCAGGGUUCUCCUGAGACCCCGACACGGGUCGCGCGUCGUGCGACCGCGUGUGUGCCGCUGGGGCCUCACGCGGGUCAAUCCGAGGGUCACCAAUCCGCUUGGGGGGCAUGGUGACCGGCUCUGUCGGCAAAGAAGACGAGGCCGCCGGCAGUCACCGGCGAGCUCUCCUCUCGCGCCCCCUACCUGGCGCGCCAGAUGUCGUUGCACGGGGCUCCGACACCGGGGGCGUGCUGGCACACCCCCUUUUAGGUUCGGCGGGGGCGUCAGGGAUCGCUCCGACGAUCGCCGGCGUGGCCGAUGGCGUACGUAACCUGCAAAGAGGUGCACCCAGAAUGCAUGCAAGCAAGGAACAUAUGCACGCAUGUUUUACCCAGUUUCGGGCCACCCGAAGGUGUAAAACCCUACGUCCUGCUUGUCUAAACUCGUAUUGUCACAAAACCAAGUGUUUACAGGUUGCCGCAUGAGUUCCCGGGUACUCUCUCCCUUUGGCUAAAUGUUCCUUACUAUUCUCUGCUAAUGCUAGAGGCUAACUGUGAGCUGAUCGAACCGUGAGACCGUAAAACCGAACCCUUUGACCUUUGGCGGGGGUCCUCCUUUUAGAACCAAGGGAAUACCACAGGUGCCACGGUGCAUGCAUUACAAGUGGCAAGCAGGGAGAUAGGGCAACUCCCCCUCGGUGUGCUGGUGGGCGUGCAUGAACGCCAACUCCGCUGCUAGGGGUCUAGAGCCCUACAAGUAGGAUUGGACAGCCACUGUUUACCUGACUAGACGGGUAACACCCCUCCUGUUGGCUCAUUAAAUGUGCCGUGCGGCUCACUCCUUGCCCUGAUGAGACUGCACACUGGGCGCCCAACGCGCGCCCACGUGACAUCGCUUCUCUGCCCUCUUGGCCCCACCCUCACGGUGGGAGCCUACGCCCGAGAACCCCUCCUCCCAGCAAGUGACUUCCCGGGAGGCGUCCAGGCGGGAAUAUUUCCCGAAGCCCCGCUAGCCCUUCAAGGCUGGUAGCUUGCCGGGCCGCUUGUAGCUGCGGCCCGAGAUGAGAUCCUGCCGGGAACUCGGCAAAGAGGCCAAUGCGUCGUGCAACGGUGGUACUCAGGAUGCCACUGGUGCGACACCGCGCGUCACCUGGCGUGACGGUCGGUGACGAGUCCGAGUAGUCCUCGGGAUGCUCGCCACCUUGUCCUCCCGAAGGGGGAGGAUGUUCUCCAUGUCCCGAGACGCGGGGCGCGUCUCCGCGUCCCGCGUUCUGUCCCCGGUCCGAACCGGCCGGGCCACCCUCUCCUUGCGGCGUUUGGGUAGCGAUCGCGAGGAGUGCGUCCAGCUCCGCACUCCACACGUCUUGCGCUGGCGUGCCUUGCGGUGAGGGGCGAGGCGAGUGCUCUGGCGAUCGCCGGCGUGACGUAAGACACGAAGUGUCGACACUCGGAUUUACCUAGGUUCGGGCCACCCGGAGGUGUAACACCCUACGUCCUGCUUGGAGUUGUAUUCACGAAAUGUGUGUGUUCUUACAGAUUGCCCGGGGGGUCCCUGGGUGAGCUACUUGUUCUUCUAGGGGAUUCUGCUAUGGAUGGGAGCACUACUACUUGCUACUGACUGGGGUUCGAACCCUUUGACCGAUGGCGCUGGUCCUCUUUUUAUAAUCAAGGGGAUACCACAGGCGCCGAUGCAUGCAGCGUGACACGUUUUCUACACGCGUGUCAUUGCCACAAAACUCACCCCACUGUAAAUCCGUGAUGGGCUUCAUGCAACGCCCAAGGAACUGUGCAUUGUAAACAAAACAGUUCUUAGACUAGCCGCUCUAAACUUGUUGGGCAAGACUAGCCCUGCCGAUGUGACUCAUGUCGGUGCAUUUAAUGCACUGUGUCCGCUGUGUGGUCUUUGUCUCCGCUGUUCCGUUGGCCCCACCUGCAACCCCCAAAGCCCCGGUACCCGGAAGGCACCCAGUACCGUCGCCCGGCAAGUUGCGGGGGAGCGAGUUGAUAACUUCCCGGGUUCGCCCCUCCCGGCAAGCCGGCCUAGCGGGAUCUCAUCAGUUGCGACCCACGCGUCCCGUGUCAGUGGGGCCCUGUGAGCCACAGGUACGAUACAUCUGGCCCUGCCUGAAAAAAUGAGUGAGCAGGGGUAGGAGCAAACAAUACUCAUCCUGAUGGGCAGGGACAAGUCUGGAAGAAUGUGUGGCAAUCAAAAGUCCGUCAUAAGGUCCGAAUUUUUGCCUAGAAAGUUGCUAGAAAUGCUCUAUCUACAAAUGCAAGCCUCCACCGUAGACAGAUUGACACCCUCCCAAACUGCAGCAUCUGUGGAGCUCAGUGGGAAGUCAUGGAGGAGGAUUGGAGCCUCCUGCACAUUGCGGAUCUCACUAAAAAUGAACCGGAAUGGAUUCUCAGCAGGCUGAAUCGCCUGUCGAAAAAUCAGGGAGUCAUCGUCCCUAUGACUUUGUGGAGAAUUUGGUUUGUUCACAAUGAGAUAACUCAUGAUAUAUAAGCCCAUGCCAACAACCAUUGAAGGUUCCCGUCGCUACCUGUCUAGCUACAUUGACACUCUCCUCCUCGUGGACCAACACCAGCAGAUCGAUUUAGUAGGGUAACACACGUGAUUGAUGUCUCCAAAAUGACCACCGAGGCGCGGGCCAAACAGAUACAAGUGCCUAAUGCCUCUGUUCCUGGAAACCGCCAGAUCCUGGCUCGUUUAAGGUGAAUGUGGAUGGUUCUUUAUGCCAUGAAUCAUCCGAGAUGAGAAAGGUAAGCUAAUGGUGGCUGCCUGUAACUCUGUAAGCAUCUACAAGACUGUGUGGAUCCUUUGGACGCUGAGCUGGCUGCUUGCGAGGAGGGACUGGUUUUGGCAACAAACUAUUCUCAACCGCCGUUCGUUCUGGAGAUUGACUGUGCUGAAACGCUGACCCUUGUUAACCAGGCUGUCCUCUCGGAAAGGCAAAAUAUAAAGGGGAAAUUUGUUGGAGAACAGCGUUAUUUCGUGGCAUUACAAUUUUGUGGACAUUUGCUAGAACACACUGCAUCGACUUAAUUUGAGAAUUUGACAUUUUUACUUGGUCGACGACCAUCUUAAAUCCGAUUUUGAACACUUUUUUUUCUUUGUACAAGUCGAUAUUUGACAUCUACUGGGGUUCGCUAUUGGUUGAGGUGGGCAUUUGUACCCUGUGUUGCUGCACUCUGCAUGAGAGAAAACGCUUCAAACAAAGAGUUUGAAAAAUUCUAGACACAUUUGUUAAAGGGUAGAAUGAUAAUUCAAUGUGAAAAAAAAGUCAAACUUUCUGUUUUGGACCAUACAAUGUGUUUUGGCAAAUGUUCAUGAAAUUGUAAUGGUACCGGGUAAAGACACAUUCCGACGGUGUGUUUCGGCAAAUGCCACGAAAUAACGGUGUCCUCCAUCCAAUUUUCCCAAAUAUAAACCUCUGCAAGAUUCUUCGAGUUAAAAAUUCUGUAAGCCACUAAUAGGUUAUCGUGUGAGUGGUUUGGGGUCUGUCCCAUUCCGCUGUUAAAUGUAACUAGAAGAGUGGCCCGCGCACUUGCGCGGGCAACAUCUUUUAUUAUUUAAGAAUUUUGAAUCUUGUAUUAUAAUAUCGUAUAGAUAUUUAAUAUUAUGCUAUUUGAAGGGAUGUCAUUGUGAAUACAUAAAUAUUGUACUUCAGUAAAUGAAACUUUUUUUUACAGCCACUAAAUGGAACUUAGUUUCAUAAAAGAUAAAUAAAAUUAUUUUCAUAUUAUCAAUCGUCAAAUUUGAUUUGAAUGAAGGGAAAGAGAUGCAAUUAAGAGAGCUUAGAUAUAAAACAUAAACCAUAAAAAACACAACACUUUUUCAGUAUGUUUUUCAAUUUGGUUAUAGGACAACUAUUUCAUUUCCUUGGAGAUAUUUGCAGUGAUUAAAAAGUUAUAUUUAUUCUAUAUGGCGCGGGAAAACGGAUCAAACAAAAUCUUCUCGUCGACCCCUUUGUCUUUUUUUUUCUCAAUCACUACUUUCAAUCAAACAAUUUGUUUUGCAAGUCAUCAUGUCUCUUUGUUUUCUCCAAUGACAUAGCUCUGGACAUGCUUAAUUCGAUAAAAUAUUCAUCCCAGAAAGAUAUUAGUGGAUUAUUAUUCAUUAAAUCAUGAUAAGUUAUCCUGUCAUAAUAUGUAGUGAAAUAUUCACCCAUCACCAUAACCCCUUUCUUAGUUCCCCAACAAAUUUACACACCUAAAGGUCCACAAAUUGCUUCCCAUUAGCUAGCUUAAAAAUAGUCACCAAGUAUCAAAAUAAAAGAAAGUCAGAACUUAAUUAAGAAACUACCGGGGCACAUGAAUAAUAUGGUAACCUUUCUAUUCAAUUUCUGUAGCGAAGUUUAGUAGCAUACAAUUUAUCAUUAGUAACACACAAACAAUCUGCAAGAAAUUAAUAAACACAUUAAGUACUAGCCAAUAAAAAAAUAGUGUUUGCAAUCUUAAGUAGAAAAAUAGAAUUCUCCUAGAUUCAUGGGAGAAAGUAUCUGCAAAUUACAUAUUGGAAUUAUACCCUUGUUAACCAACGAUUGAAGUUUGGUACAAUAUUGGUCAUUUUGCAAUCUCCCUGGAUGAAGUUCAACAUCAUAAACUUGCUCUAAGCACCAAGUAGACCAAGAAGAGAUGUUGGUUUUAUACAAUGUCACAUGCCAUGCAAGACGUUCGGUUUGUAUCAUGUAACGAAACUUGCGAGUUGAGAUGCAAAAUUCUUGAAUUUCUUAAUUGACAUGACAACAACCAGAUCACAUGGAACAUUCCAAGGAACCGGAAACAAACGCGAAUGCUAAAUCAUCAAAUGACAAUUGUCAAUCCACGGUGGAAUCUUGCUCAUGAAUUUGACAUAUGUUUCACAAUUAACUAAUGAUUUAAUGGCAAACUCUUCAACUAAUUUUUACAAGAUGCAAAGAUCACGUUAAUACUUCCAAAAAUGUAGAAAGAAAAUUGAAAAGUUACAUGAUACAUCAAGUGCAAUUGGUAAAUUUUUAUUCAUUCAUUUUUGUUCUUUGGAAUCUUGAUGCUGUGAGCACAUGGAGUAGCAACAUAUGGACAAAAUAUGAAAUAAAUUGAUGUUACUAAGUGCUAAUAAUCCCAUAUCUUUCUAUCGUAGUAAAAUAUAACUUAGUUUUUUAUUAUUAUCGCCUCUUUCACUUAACUACUGAUAACAUUCUAAAUUAGUUGUAAAAGGUACAAAACAACUGCCGCAAAUGUUUGUGCAGAAAAGAAAAACUUAUUGGUAGGGUAUAGUACUCCCUCUGAUCCAUAUUAGGUAUUGCUGAUUUAUUACAGCAACAACUAAUAUGGAUCGGAGGGUGUAGUCUUUGUCUAUGUGUGUUUUAAAAGGAUGUGUGUGUUUAUGCGUGCUUUAAAUGGAUUAGGGUAUAAUAAAUUUGUAUCAAAUGUCAACUUUAAUACUCCCUCCGUUCCAUAUUAAUUGGCAUCCUUUUUAGGCGAAAGGUUGUCAUCUCAAGAUACUAAGCAAUAUCUAGAUAAAUAAGCUGCUCCCAAGUUAUCAGAAUCCAGGGACUUCAUCAGAGACGUCAAAGUGCUUGAAUGUUCUUGUAUGGAGUCAGUUCAAUCGUUACCACAUUUGUUGUAGUAAGAACCUAAAUUGUCUUCCUCACACUAUAUGAUAUACUUGGUUGGAAAUGUUGCGUUGUUUAUAGAGAAACGUGACAUAGAACAUUGCAUAUGCCGGUGCUUAUGAGGUUUUGGCUAACAACUUGUGGGGGUACUGAGGACAAGCUGAAAUCAAUUAUCUCGUCUCCCUUUCGGACUAUAGAGAAGUAAAUUCAUCAACCUAUUAAUGUGGUUCCCUGACUUGUUGAACCGAACCAAAAAUGUCAAUCCUUUCUCUUUUCCUGGUCUUCUCAGCCUACUCGUAAAUUGGUACCUUCUUGUUACGAAGCUCAAGAACACUUUGUAGGUAUCUACUAUUUAAUGAUUUUGCAUCUACAACAAAAUAGAAGAUACCUAUUGUAGCCAUUAAUAGGAAUACCAUUCGGUAGCCUGCCAAAAUUGAAAUAAAGAAACACAUUCCAUAUGCUUGAAAGUAGAAGAUAAAUAAUUUGUAUCCAUUAACGGAAAGGCCAAUCAGCGGUUAUAGCGACCUACAAGCUUUGUUAACCAAAAAAUAAUUCUCAUGUUAGAGUAAUGUGUUGCGGUAGUCUAAAAACGUUUUUCUACCAAUUGAUCUAGAAAGAGUGCCCACGCACUUUCAGAUAUGAUCAUUAUGGUACAGUUAAAGUGAUUGUUAAGAACGUUAGUCAACAUUUUAGGUGUACUUUGGUGUUAUGUAUAUAAAACUGAAACCCACUUGUCCAUUCUAGAUGACAUCAUUAUUAGGUGUCAAACUGAAGACAUAUAAAUGUAUAUACAUACAUCUAGUAAAGUGGGUAGCAUACCAGGUCAUGAUAAAGCAGGCCAUAUUAUGUCAAAGUUGGUAACUCGACAGUGAGAAGUCAUAAAAAUGCAAGAUUAAGACAACUGAAUUAUUGAUAGAAGAGCAGCCAGCAUAAGAUUAUUAACAAAUAUAGAUAUUGGCCAGCAUAAGAUUAUUAACCAAUGUUUGUAGUCUUAUAUGUAAUCUGUUUUCUAAUUGCUUACAUCGAGCGGAUGGAACACGGUUUGCUAAAUGAAAGCAUGACUCGUAUUCAGUAUCCAAUGAAUGGAAAAUAGAUAUUGGCCAGCAUAAGAUUAUUAACCUUGCUGUCUGGCCUUCGGGGAUGCUUUAACUGGAAAACGAAAAUAUAUUUGCUCAACAGUUUAAAUUUGCCAUGGAGACAAUAAAGAAGUGCACACAUUACUGCCCCUGAUAUUUUGACAUUGUUUCCUACCAAUAAACUCUAUGCAAUGAGACAAACUGAUAGUGAUCUACAUGUAUAUAACGGAAUACAAGAAACUGAGAAUGUGACUCUGACUCCAACUUGCAUCUCUUCUCUCAUUGCUUGAAAGAACAGAAAAGGCACAAUCAAUAACAUCUUCACCGUCGAGAGUAACGAUCAGUCCAAGAACACCAUGCAUUGAUGGGUGUUGAGGGCCCAUAUUGACUAUCAUGAGAUCUUUUCUUGUAAGCGGUAGACUCAUAUCCUUUCUUCCUUAAUUCGUUAUUCCAUGAAUUCCUCAAAACGAGGCUCAUCAAAAUGCAAAAUCUAGCAGACCAAGUAGAUGGGGGCAACGAUUUUCUAAUUUUAUUAGAAGGAACUGAUGAAUUGAUUACAUAAACUAUUCAAAAGAAAAUUGAUGAAUUGAUUACAGAAACAAUUCGUGACACACGUCAGUGCAGUGCGAUCUAACUACAGUUGAAAGACUGCAAUUGAAGGGAAGCCAAACUUACAAACUUCAGACAAUAAAUAGUGAAUAGGAUAUUGAUUGAUCCACAAGUCCACAACCACGGAUCGAGAAUACAAUCAUAACGAUCUCCUCCGUGAGGGCGACAGCAGCAGGUUCGAUCAAUCGGGACAUGGACGAUUAAGGCGACUGAGGUGGUAGUGUUGAUUCCUCAGGACAGCAACGCUUGGGUAAAGCCAUGGUGGAAGCCCGGUGAGGGCAGGGGCAGGAUGCGACGCAGCGAGGUAGAUGGAUGAUCCCGGCACGUUCGAAGGCUAGUUGGGGACGGUUAGAUGGUCCUUAAUUGAAGAUCGAACGGUCAGACUCUUGUGGACGUACCGAGGCUCGUGGGAUGUGGAUUCUUUCCAUCUCAGCCGUUAAUUGUGACAUUAAUUGUAAAGAUCUGCGAAAUAAACGGUCAGAUGUUUUGCUUUAUGAUGAGACUAGCAAAAUGCCCAUGCGCUGCCACGGCCCAGGCGCACCGUGUAUGAUGGUCAUCAAGACCACUUUGAAAUGUGGUCACGUGCAGGAAAAGCAUGAACACAUAAAAAUGUAAAUAUGCACCAUGCUUGGAUCAAUCAUAAAAAAAACAUAGGAAAAAUUCUGGAGCAUGCAUGAAAAAUCAUGGAAGAUUGGAACUUCAAGCUGCAGUUAGUAUCAGACACGUUCAUUGACUCUCGCUGAUUAACAUGAACUGCAAAUACAUAAUCAAAACAUCUGAAGAAAAUCCAUAUUACCUGAAGACACAAGUACAGAAUAUCUCGAAAAAUAAUCUAAGAAGAAGAAGAAAUCUAUGAGCGAAGGCUCCAGGUCAUCCUGCACACCUGAGCGUCGAGGUAACUGCAAGGACGAGCACGACGAAGUAUGCCGAAAUAAGCUCCGUGCCGUACCUGCUCAUCAUGUGGAGUUACCAUUUGCUUCUAAUAAGCCAAGCAAUUCAGAAUGAUAUAGUACUCCCUCAGUCCCAAAAUAAGUGACUUGGAUUUGUAUAGAUUUUUAUACAAAUCCAAGUCACUUAUUUUGGGACGGAGGGAGUAUAAGUUAUUCAUGACACACCAAAUUUCGGUUACAGAAUUCUAUAAUUUUGCGGAGAGGAAGUGUAUUUGGUGUUGGCAUACGACACACCAAAUUUCUGUUACAAGUCAUUCAAGAACUCUCUAAUUUGUGGGGAUUGCAUUAUCUUUCCUGCCUAUACGAAGCAUAUUCCUACAGCACAUGCUUCAGCAUAUCAUGAUACGAUACAGUACACACUAAGGGAACACUUCAAAGUUAUCUUAUUUUUUUUUAAGAACAGAUGGUUGGAACCAUUACAGAGGCAUUUUGUGGAACAAACAAUUAUGCAGCUGACGCAUUUGCUCUAGUUUGACACCCCAAACAACAUAUACAGUAACAUAACUAAACAACUUGGGAGGAUGGUAUGUGGUUAAAAUACAAAAAUAUAAAUUUUAGCUAGCAAUAGCAAGAACCAAGAGUUGCACCUUCUGUAACCAUAAGUACUGUCAACUUUAUCUAUAUACUACCGUGGGUGAUGGAUAUUACCUCGUCAGCCAAGAUACUCUUGUUGUACAAAGAACAUUAUCAAUCUCUAAGACCAAGCUUGACCUCAUUGUCAUCUCCUCUUCAAAUAGCUUCAGAUUAUGUGAUGGACGCCCAGGCAAUCUCCUGCUUGAGUUUGAGCUCCGUGUUCAGCCGGAGCUUCUCGUCCUCAGAGUCCAAAUCAAUCCACUCACUGAUCCUCCCAAUGAAGAUGAUCCUCUGGGAAGAGACAAUAGAUUGGAUAAGGACUACAACGAUGCAAGAUAUCAUAAUAAAGCUUCAGUUCUGAAUGUUUAUCAUUGCAUCAAGGUGAAGUUUGGGAAGGAAAAAAAACUCCGACAAGGCAGGCGCUUACAAUUAAAUAACAGUCUGUGUGCUGCUGCUCUACUUCAUCUCCACUGCCAGCUUCUUCCUCACCAACAGCUGCUGCUCCAUCUCUUCUUCCUCUACUCAGCCCACCUAUAACAGAAGACCAGAGAAGAUUUAGAGAGAGAGGGAGAUCACCAGCAUAUUCUGAUCCCUGCACACUAUUGAUCACUAUCCAUUCAUAAGAAAAUUAAGGUCUGAUGCAAUAAGUCCUUCUUUACUCUGCUGCAAAUUAAGGGACAGAAUAUAAGAUCAAAGUUGAAUCUUUGUUUUAGUAAAUUGCAGGUGAAUAAACCACAAAACAUAUGACACUCAAAUCUGCAGUGGCAAAGAAAAUUAUUUUCGAAGAAGAAAAAGGUGGUAUGAAUUGAACUAAUCUCAAUUAAGGAACAAAAUAUAAGAUCAGAGCUGAGUCUCUGUUUUAAUAACAUGCAGGUCACUGAAGCACAAAACUUAUGACACUCAAAUCUGCAGUGACGGAGCGUGUUAUUUUCAAAAGAAGAAAAAGGUGGUGAAUUUGCCUGAAGAAAACAUAACUAAUCUCACCUCCGAAACUUGGAUUUUGAUUUGCAGAGCUUGCAUACAAACCACACUUCAGGUUACAACCACAAUUCCAUACUAUUGAUAGCAAAGAUGCUUAUCAUCCACAUAAGAGGACUUUUUUCAAAGUACAAAACUGCAAAAUACUAAGAAUCUAACUAUAUGACUGAAAUGCAAUAAACACAUUAUACAUACGCUUGGCCAAAUUGGGUGAGCGCACCAUUGCUAACUUGUCGGAAACCAAUACACGGAAAUGAGACAAAGCUGCAAAAUACUAAGAAUCUAAUUAUAUGACUGAAAUGCAAUAAACACAUUAUACAUACGCUUGGCCAAAUUGGGUGAGCGCACCAUUGCUAACAUGUUGGAAACCAAUGUAGGAAUUAAUUCAGCUCCAUUUAUUACACAUUACCUUGAGUGAAACAUCAGCUGCAUAAAGAUCUAGGAUAGAACAAAAAAAAGAGAGAAAGUAGAUUGAAUUAAAUACCUGAGAUCACCACGUCCGCGAGCCACAAAUUACGGGAACAGUUGGACAGGCACACAAGGGCAUGUAUUUCAGAUGUUGUAAUAACGGUCCACUCAAAAUACCAAAAGCAUAGUGUCCUGCAAAAUGCAAAUCGAUUACAAAAUAUGCUCUUGAGUGGUGUCAUAUUUACUUUUCCAUGUGUGAACAGUUCCAGUUGUAUGCAGCUAAGCUCUGAACCUAAAGCCCAAGUACUAAACUAAUCCAGUCAAAGUUGGAGUAAAACCACACCACUACCUUGUCUCACCACCCUAGCCUGUAGAUAAUAAUUCAAUGAAACUAAUUUACUGGAUGAAGCAUCACAUAUUUGCAAAUAAUUCCAUACGUUAAAUUAAACAGCCUCUGAGACUAUUGUUUGUAAGUUACAAGAAAAGAACAAGUCUGAAGCAUGGUCAGCAAUAUCCAAGUGAACUUGCUAAGAACCAUUUUUUGAAUGGGGAAUAAAGCUAAACCUUUUUUUUGGAUGGGGGGGGGGGGGGGGGGGGGGGGGCAAUCUUCUGCUCCUCGACAACAUUAUGGUUGGCUGUUGCUUCACUCUUGACCAGAGGAGAGAGGGAAGGCGCGGCGGGAGGCGUGGUCGGGCGGCGGCCUGCAGCAGAUGAUUAAACGAGCAGGGAGAGAGGGAGGAGCAGAUGGAAGGAGCAAGAGGGAGGGAGAGGGAGCCGCAGAUGGAAGGAGCAAGAGGGAGGGAGAGAGGGAGGAGCAGAGGGAAGGAGCAAGAGGGAGAGAGGCGGGGGGUUUGGCCCUCUCCAUCUCUUCUCCUCCGAUCUAAGCUCUCCUCUUCUUUCCUCCUCGCGAGAAGGGCGACAACAGGGGAAGGAGGCGUCGGCGGGGGAAAGGAGGUGGCGCUGGGGGCGGAGGGGGAGGUAGGACUCCGGCGACUGCAGCCUCCGUUGAUGGGGCCUUGGCGGAGACGGCGACGGCGAGGAGGGGAAGGGAACGGGAAGAAGUCGGGUUGAGAGAUCCGGGGACACGAGGCCACGAGGGGGAGGCGGGGGAGGACAGAAGGGCUUGACGAACGCCGAAAACAAAUAAUGCCAAUUUCCGUAAUUUUCUCUCCUUCCAGUCCUACUCCUCCUCCUCCACCUUACGACCGAUGUCACCUCGCCCGCAUGAGUCCAUGCCCGAGCCUCCCCUCCAUCCCAUUAUUAUCUAUUAAAUUGGAGUGGGUGGUGAUUGGUACGGACGCGGUAGGUCAACUUUGUUAAAAUUACAACAAAUAUGCCAUUUUACGUUAUUUUCUCUACUUCCCGUCUUAUUCACCAUUCCUCCUCCACCUUACGACCGACGCCACCGUGCCGGCGUGAGCCCAUGCCCGAGCCUCCCCCUCCACCCCCAGCCCAAUUUCUCCUUCUCCGUCCUACAACCGAUGCCAAUCGACGUCACAGCACUCCGAGCAAAACCAUCACAUCGCCGCCCGCUUCACCUGUUCUCCCACCACCUCCACCGCCAGACUCGUGGGAGACGGCCGACCUUGACGGCGCCAUGAGUUGCUUGCUCCAUUCUGCCCGCCGCGUCAACUCCUCACUAGACCUCGCAACCCGGUGCAGGCGCAUGACCGCAUCCCCCAGCGCCCUAAGCGUCCCGACCUUCCUAGCCUUCGCCAACCACCUGCGCACCCUCUUGCAGCUGAUUCCAGCCACCGGGUUCCGUAGCAAUGCACGGGCACACCUACUAGUAGAUAUAGACUUUCUAGAGCUUCUAUCUUUUUUGUGGUUUUUCUGUCAUGUACUUUUGGUAUAUAAUAGAUACGGGAUGAUUUUUAUGCUCCUGAUUAAUAUAUUCUUACCCUUGCAAAAAAAAAAAUACUACCUCCGUUUCAUAAUUGUUCUCUCAAAUUUGCUAAAAAUAAAUGUAUCUAUUCUUAAAAAAAUGUCUAGAUACAUGUAAUAUUUCGACAAGAAUUAUGAAACGGAGAGAGUAUCAUUUUUCUUAACUGGAGGUGUUGAAUAGAUGCACUAUCACAUUAUCUGAACAAAUGAAAUAUACUUGUCAGAAAUUAACAUCACUCGCUGCCAACACCAACAGAAAGGCCAGGAAGAUUGUAAAUAAUUAUAACAAUCAGAUUACAACUAGAUACUGAUGUUGAUCAUGCCCCAGCACUAUAUAUAUCUGCGAGCUCCGCCAGAACGGAUAGGCUGCUGACCUUUUGAGUUGAAAUACAGAAUGUGCAAGAGUAUAUUAAAGCACCAAGUGCAAAUGUAGAUGACCAGAGUAACGAAUCUAUACCAAUAUAUUAAAUUAGAGUUGUUGGCGAUGUUACACAGUCGCAAUACGUCCGCCCUCCCCGAUCGCUGUGCUUCUUUGCCGAAGUGUUUUUUUCCCUUCUCCCCAGCCCGCGUCUCGCUCUCCACACAACCGCUGUCGCCGCCCUCCCUCACUGCAGAUGCAGCCGACGCUGCCCUCUCCUUCCCCUGCGCGCUCCGCCGCCGCCCUCCUACCCUGUGCGCGCAGCCUCCUCCCUAUGUCCCUCCCUGACUUCCCUACCUAUGCUUCCGUCGGAUUUCGGCAGCGCGCGUGGCAACGAGAGGUGGAGCGAGCAGGGCGAGCGGUGCACUACUGGGCAGAAUCGAGCUAGGCGACGAUGGCGAGGAAAUCCUCCUCGCGGCAGGGAAGCGGAGGCCGCCAGCCUGGCCGAAUCCGAACUCCUCCGCCGUGGGAACCGGGAAACAAACUCCCGGACCCCUUGUAACACUAGCCCAGGAAUGCUAAUGUACAUGCGAAAUGUAUCUCAUUGCACGACAGUUCAAAAGUUAAUAUAAAGUUUGAAUAGUAAAAUGCCCUUCGGCUUAUAUAAAGCAAUGUCUUGGGGCAUUAUUAUUACAAGUCUGAAAUAGCAGCGGAAAACAAUAAACGACGCGUGGUGCCUCCAUCUCAGCCACAGGCAGUCGAUGUAGCACACGAGGCCUCACUCCUCAGGUUCACCGUAGUAGUCGUCGUCAACGUCUUCUUCUUCAUAGUACUCUGUACAACAACGACAACAACAAACCAUCGCCAUGAGUACAGUACGUACUCAGCGUGCCGCCUCUGGGAACCCUGAUAACUGCAUGUUGGCUUCAAAGAAAGGCUAUAUGGUUCUUUUGCAUAAAAGCGGUUUUGUUUGAAAUACAACUAUACUUUUGAUGAAGGCGGUUUUGAUAAAAACAAGUUUAUCUCAAAAGCAUUAUCCAACAACGUGAGGAUCCUCGACCACUCACCCAAAUCCUCAGUUCCAGCAAGAAGUUAGAGAGGGAGGAAGGAAGGGAAAGAAGACAGGUCUCGUAUGUCAAGAAAGAAUCAUGUGCCGUCCAUGACCGUGGACACGGCUAUUCGAAUAGUUUUACACUCUGCAGAGGUUGUACGCUGUACCCACACGACAUGAUCUCGCCUUGUGCCUAACCAAUUGCGCUACUGGUGAACACACCCCUCAGUGUAUCGACAGCGAGACCAUGACGAGGUCUUUUAGCUACCUCCCCCAAAGAUGUGACGAGCCCACCGGGUCUGGUGCACGGAAUGAGAGUAUGUCCCCAUCUCCGGUCCCCCCAUCUGUGCCGAGGGUUCUCCCAUCUCAGGUGACACCCCAUUUGCGGUACGGCAUCAUCGGCACCUAAGGCUGACUAGCUUACUUGACCAAGCCAGAGCCCAUAUAGCAUGUGGUCGCACUGUUGUCACAAUCUUCAGAUUCAAGACUUAUUAGGCCUCAUCCGCUAUGGGCGGCUAAUUGCUCCCACACAGGCUAACAAUUGCUCCUUCAACCAAUGAUCCAGCUGCCACCCGCACCAGUUGUAUGGUAAGUUUCACCCAGAGUAGGUAGAGAGAGUAGAAGGGGAUUCCAAGAAGAGGGAACAACAUCCAGCUCAACGAGCUCAACAACUUUCAACAAUGUAUCAUCGAUCCAAAGAUCACAUAGAAUCCUGGAAGAGGCAAAAGAGUGAUUCCUAAUGAAUAAUAUGAGCAAGGCUAAGCAUUUCUACUCUACAAGAAUACUAUAUAAACUACUCCAGGUAUCAAAGGAAUGGUGACAAGCAGAUCAUGGCCAAGUGUCAAUCGACACACUAGCUACAAGAAAUAAGUAGCAUGCAUGUUUAUAAAACAAUAAAAUAACUAACUAAUGCCCAUUUGAAAACAUAGGAUAAAUAUGAUCAAAGAGAGGGGGGGCAUGCCUUCGUUGUCGGGGUACUGUUCUUCUCCUUCGUGGCCCUGGUUGUGGUCGUUCCCGUCACUCCCUAUUCGUCGUAAAAAUAAAUCGCCACCAAAUAAAUAAACAACUCCAAUAAAGAAUCCAAAAGAAGAGUCUGAAAGAAAGCGAGAUAAACACAUGAACCAAUUUGGAAUGAAUAGGGUGAUACACGGAGUGUGUCUCUGAGUCGUGCAAUAGCAAGAGAGUGUGGAACUAGAGAGUUCUUUAUGCUGGCCUCCUAGUGUCCUUAACCAUAGUAUAUAUAAUGAUACCCUCCCAUAUAACCUUAAUACACAAGCUUGUAUGCUCCAACUUAAACUAAGCACUCAAGAGUACAGCAAGCAUGAUCUUACCCUAAGGAAAAGAGAGUAGAACAGCUACUGCUCUAAGCAUGUGAAGCAUCCAACAAUUUAAACACUAGUUUCUUUCUCAGCUAAGCAAGAUGCAAACAGUAUGCAAAACUCAAUAAUUGACACACAGCUCUAAGCAUGGAAGAACAGGGUUUCUCUAAUAUAAUUUAAACAGCAGAAAGAUGAUUUUGAAGCUACAAACACAAUUAUGCCUUUCUAGCACAAGCACUAGUAUAGCAGAAUCUAUAUGGCAAACUGGGCAAGCAUGUAACUAAAAGAAUAACAACACUGCAUUUCUACUACCACAGGAGGUACAGUGACAUGUAUCAGAUUGAGUAGAGUAGAGUAAAACUGAAUUUGCUAGCACCAAAGCACAUACAACCUGCUAACUGUAUUAGUCACUGAAAAGCUCAUGUAUGUGAAACAACAACAGUGCAGCAACUGAACAAUUAUGCAUGCUAGAUGAAACAGUGCAUCAACUAAACAAUUAGUCAACAAUUAGUUGAUAUACAGCAGGGAGAGAGACAAAAUAUACGACCGAACUAAUCCUCAAUAUGGUAUUCGCUGCAUAGGAGAUAAACUGAGACUGUACAACCACUGUAACAGAUUCACAAACAGCCGUAUACAUCCGCUGGAUAUGAAGGAAAAAUCCAUACAUACAUGUAGAAAUUCAUGCUAAUGAAACAAAUCAGCUUGCAGCUUCUAACCUGAUAUGUGCUACUGAACUAGAAACAUUAGUAUGCUGAAACCUACAGUGAAGUAUCUACCAACUACACAAAUCUGAAACUUGAUGGUAAAUAAUUACAGAAUAUGCACUGAUGGAAGCAUUGAGCAAUAGCAAAACAGUUAGACCAAAUUAGGAAUAAACUACAUGUGCAGGUGCUCCACCAUACAAUCUGAACUUCAUGCUGUAGGUACAGACUGAAGAAAAAAAAGAAAGAGAGGAUGCCAUGAAUAUAAUAACAGCUGUUCCAAAUUGAAAAAAAAAACUACUGCUAAACACACCUGCAGAUUUAGAGCUGCCAAUAAUCUUGGUGAACAAAACAAGUACUGCUACACAAGGGCCCUAAGUGCUUCUGUAGCCUAUCCUAAACAGGUCCAGGGACUAAACCUUCUAAACUAACCCAGUCGCUGACUACAAAAGAAGAGACGUGAGUUCAGGUGUAGGUGUUCGCCGGAGAUAGAAUAAUCGUGUGUGUAGGGUGACGACAAAAAUGAAACGGGAGCACUGCAGCGAUCCAGAGGACGGUGAUUACCUGUCCAGCGACAGACAGAAGGACUGGCAUCGACGGUGCCCUAGGUUGUGGCAGGAUCUGCUUGUAGAGGGGAGGAGAAAAGAACUAGCUGCAGGGGGAGAGGAGAUUUAAAUAGGGGGGAAUGCAGGGGAUUGAAGUAGAGCCCUUGAUUGGGGAAAAACGGAAGGGGCAGGGGCGGAGUCAUGGCGCCUGGAGUGAUUGCGGUGGCGUUACUGUGCGUGGAGUGGAGGAGGAAGAAGAAGCGUUCAGUUUGCAGUGGUCGUUGGGGAAAAAGAAAAUGGAAAGGGGCAAGGCCCAGGAAAGAGGAAAGGAAAAAAAAAAGAGAGAUGGGCUAGAGGAUUUCAGCCCAUAGUGCAAGAGUUGAGCUUUAAUUUGCAUAAUUCCCAAAAUCAAUUCCAAUGAAAAUUUGAAUUCAAACUGAAGGCAAAAAUCUAAGAAAACGAGUUUGCAUCUCCAGUUAGACAUGAUGAAACUGAAAAAAUUAAUUCAAAGCCCAAAAGACAAAGUAGGGUAUUAAGGAAUCAUAUUUCCACCUUUUUUUUAUGCCAAAUUAAUUCCCAAACACUUUUGGGAUUAAUUUCUGCAACUCCAACCAAAGUACUUUAUUUACAUAGAGUAUGAUGUAACAUCCCUUGCUUAUGAAAAAGAUAAAAAAAAUUGACUCUGUUACAUCCGCCGCGUGCUCCAUGAGCGCCCCGAACGCCGGCUGGCAGAGGUAGCUCACGGGCACCACGAACCGCCGUGCCUCCGCGCCCACGUACACCGCGAAGUACCCCCUCGGCACCGCCGCCGCCGCCUCGUCGGUGCCGUCGAGCAGCGCCGCCCGCUCCGCCGCCUUGCUGCUCCUCCCGCCGACCAGCUGCCUCGGCGCCCGAAGGUUCAGGUACAAUGGCUGGCUCUAGCAAGCUUCUCUCCCGGUCGAUUGAUUGAUAGAUCGAGAGAGUUCGAGACCAGUUAAUUAAUAUUGCACCUCCUCUGAAUCUCUGAUCCUCCUCCUCUAAUCGAAGCCCGAGAAAAUAAUGGCGAUCUCUUCGUCGCGGGCUUGGCGAGAAGGAAGGGAUUAAGAGGAGGAUUUGGAGAGGAGAGAUCAAAGCAUGUGAGGUCUGGGGCUCUUUGGCAGCAGGUGAGGCUGCACAGCUGGGGGCUGGGGCGAGGACAAGGGAGGCGGGAGUCGCUUGCUCGCCUUCUCUUCUCUUGUUCUUUGGAGCAAAUUUUUGUUUUUUACACAGCUGGAGCCUUGUAGAGACUAUUGUUGAAAUUUCGAAGAAAUUAGGAAUAGCGUAUCUCGAUUACGAAAGGUGAUUUAGGAUAAUCUUGCUAUACAUCUUCGUCCUUAUUGUUUCUGUUGACGAUGGAAUCCGGACGAGCAUUUAGCCACCGCCAGAAUGUUAGGAAUUAAUCUUGUCCAAGUCCGAAUGAUAGUAGAUUUGGGUUUUGGCAAGUGCUGCCAUGUGUGAGUUUAGGUGAGUUUGAAUUGGACACUAGUCUGUGUAGGUUUGGUCAUGGUCUCUGACUAGGAUUAGUACUUGUGUGCGUAUAAAUACGCAGGUAGUCAGCGUAGGUUGAGAUCAAGUUUGUAACGUGAGUUCUAAGUUCAAGGAAUAAAGAAAGAAAAAAGAGGGCACGAUACGCGCCCUUGGUCAAAUAAUUGUGUGAUCGUUUGGCUUGUGCGUCUUCAUGUGAUUGAUCUUUGGGCCAACCCAACAUUUGGUAUCAGAGCGAGGUUCAAGAUUUGAAGACGCACUUGCCCUGGGGAGGCGAUGUGCUAGCGCCUCAGGGCAGGCAACGGCGGCAGAAAGGCGUCCGUGGAUCAAGACUGGCAAACGGUGGCAGUGCACGAAGAGACGUUCAGCAGAUCAGAUAGGACUAUCGUCACAGUAAACCGAUCCCCUAGUAACGGGAGAUCAUCCUGAUCGUCGGAAAGUACUCGACAUCGGGUCAAGCUGCGUAUGUACAUCCACGUCAGCGUCUGUGAGUCGUGGUUGUGUCCAAGUGCUUCUCUAUGUGGGACUAUGUUGCAGUGGAGGUGCGUCACGGUCGAAGGGCUGUUCAGUGAGGUGUAUCACUGAGGGCGAAGACGUGCGUGCAGACAAGGUGGCGGGUGUCAUCUGUGUGUCUCAGCGAGAAGACGGAAGCUCAAGUGUAUAGUGGGCGGCGUACCAGUGAAGGUGAGUCUCUUCAAUGAGGACAUGUCUCUACGUGGAGUUAUGAGUUUAGCUAGCACGUAUUGCGCUAGGUGUGGACGAUGUAGUCCAUGCGGGAGCUAGCGUGACUGGGAGUCUGGAUCAUACGUUGAGCGAGCCGACGAGUCGUGAAGCUGCGGUGAGUCAAGAUCAGGGGAGCACGAAAGGCGGAGUCAAAAUUAAGGGGAGAUUGUUAUGAAUUAAUCUUGUCCAAGUCCGAAUGGUAGUAGGUUUGGGUUUUGGCAAGUGCUGCCAUGUGUGAGUUUAGGUGAGUUUGAAUUGGACACUAGUACGUGUAGCUUUGGUCAUGGUCUCUGACUAGGAUUAGUACUUGUGUGUGUAUAAAUACGCAGGUAGUCAGCCUAGGUUGAGAUCAAAUUUGUAACGUGAGUUCUAAGUUCAAGGAAUAAAGAAAAAAAAAAGAGGACACGAUACGCGUCCUUGCCAAAUAAUUGUGUGAUCGUUUGGCGUGUGCCUCUUCAUGUGAUUGAUUUUUGGUCAAACCCAACACAGAACAGGCCAGGGAUCAUUAACUACGCCGGCUACUGUAGGAUCGACCUGGCUAUCAAUGACACACGGUAACACAAUAUGUUUUGUGUUACAGAAUAAACAGUAUUGGUAAACAAUUAAUAUGGAGUCAAUGGUUUCUGUUCAUAGUGUCCUUCAACGAGAUUUGGAGCCAUUUUAUGUUGGCUAGGAUGAUCUGGUUCCAUAUUUAUCUUGUUUUAUUUUGCUGCCGGAUCAUUGAAUCAAUAUAUUAGCUAGCUGUACUAGCUGUUCCUUAAGCAGUUAUUCUGUUUCAGAAUACCUUUUUUUUUCCUUUUCUGAAGAAGCAUGGUCCAUGGAUGAUGGUCCAGGAAUCCAUCUUUCGAGGAUGGAGAAAAAUAGUACCUUUUAAAUUCACCGACCAGGCCGUAGAGAUUUGAUACUAAUGAGACAUUUUUGUUUAAAGACAGUGCAUAAAUAGGUACUAUAGUACUUUUGGUUCCUGAUUUUUUACAGGAAAUCAUAUUUGAAAGUUUCAAAAAAAUCUGAAUCCUUUUUGUGUAUGUAUACACAAACCUACAUAUUUUCAUCAAGAAAUAUGUUGAUUUGUGAUCUGUGAAAAAAAAAACACAAAUCUGUGGAUCUAGAUGGUAAACGGGUUCACGAGGCUCUGCCUGCCGCCGUCACCGUGUUCAACAAAAGUAGAGGUAAGCAAUGUGGUGCUGGGCCAGAUUUGCAUGUUGUUACUUGUUACUGCCGUUCGAUUUUAGGUCCCUUUACUGUGUCCAGCAACAGUAGGAGAGCAUAGAGGAUAGGAAUAAUGAGUUCAGAGCUUAUUUGGUCCCAAGUAAUUUGUAUGGCUAUUUCUUUGAUGCCAACCAAUUCUGAAGUUUUACAAGCAUGUCUCUGGACCAGUAUGCACUCAUCUCAUUGUGUUUUUGUAAAAAAAAAAACACGCAACUAUGGACUCUUUUGCAUGAUCAAAUUAUGUCCAAUAUCUCAGGUAAAGCUUUGCUAGAGCUGAAAUAUUUGUGGUUCUUUCAUAGUUGCAGUACUGAAUAUAUGUCAUGUGAAAUAUUUUUCAUGCUUCAAUUCUAAGGCAAGAUGUCUGUCCAUUUGAAGUUAUUGUCCACCAGUGACGAUGUUGAGUGUAAGCUUCUAUCCCGUGAUCUUAGUGUGCAUCAAAUCUAUAUUAUGCAAAGUCUAUGUUCACAAUUUCAGCAGGUACUAUCUCGUCUUCUCCGAGAGUAGAGCACAGAAACAAAGGGUGUCUGGUGGCCGUCAGAUGGGAGCAUGAAGAGAGAAGCAUGUUAGUAGGUUUUGUUGUCUUAUGAUAGAGUAGAGUAUGGAGACAAAAUCUACCGAAGAUUUUCUUUUUAAAAGAGAUGUUUGGUGGUCGGUGGUUGUCAAAGAAGAUCAAAGAGAAGUUUGACGCAUGUCUUCGAAUGUGCGGAGUAUCUUUUAUUUUGUUGUACCGUUGCAACGCACGGACAUUUCUGCUAGUACAUAUGUUAAUUACGAGGAACCCGGAUGGUACCGUAGUAUGCAAUGUUGUAGGAUACGUAAAUAAGUAAAAUAGAGAUAAGCAAUCAAUCGAUACAACAUACAACUAAGGAGAUCGUGACCCUCUAACUAAGUCACUGGAUAUGUAGCAAGCACCAAGAGUCGAAACUCGAAAGCAAUUUCCUCACACCAUAACUGCAGAUGCCCUACAUGAAAUGGUCACCAUCGCACGUGAACAUAUGUGAAAUCAUCUUCCGAGCGUAAAGCGUGGCAAGUAUCACAAACCGGAGCAGAAUCUUCUUAGCAUAUAUACAUUUCACCGACAAAGUAUAAACACAGGCGUCAUAUCUCUUCCAUGGCAAAAUAACCGAGAGAUGAGAUUCUACGUUACAGACAAAUGAAAUCUGUUGAGACGGUCCACGUCUUUCCUGCGUGUUCUCGCAUCACUGAUGUCUGUUUCUAAGCAUAUAUCGGUUGCUACAACGUUUUUCUAGAUUCUCUAUGGCUUUUUUUAGAGACAGAGAGAGGGAGAUAUCAGUUUCUCUAUGGCCUGAUUUCCACUCACCAAAGUAGGAAAAAACCCAAACUACCAAACAGAUUUUUUGUGUCCUCAACUUAAUUAUUUAUUGAUGGCUAAUACUCAGCUACCUCAUAUAUGAAAUCACAUGCUCAUGGUUAUAUGAUGCAUAGAAUACAUUUAUGUGUUUUAAGAAAACUGGCGAUUAUCAAUGGAAUACAAUAUAUCUUGUAUGAAUAUUGGAAAGACUGCCCGGGCACAUUGAUAAUCGGAAGGAGUUAGGUCAUUGAUUAUAUUAUAGCCCUAAUGUCGACCUACAUGAUUAGUGGAAUUUAAACAUGAUCAUGGCGCAUUGCUCACAAAUGCUUGUUCUAGGGACCGACAGUUAGAGUCCCUAACGGAUGAAUUAUACCGUGGUUGGUAGUUUAAUCUGGACUCUAUCUGAAAACUAGUUUAAAUUUCAUGAUUUAAAACUAAGACUCUUAUCUGUAUAUGCAGUAUAAGAAGGUCCUUACCCCCUAACCUCAGAUUGCGGAAUUGUGAGCGGCACAAUGAAAAAACGCAGAGGAAUAAUAUGGGGUAGACCACCCAAAAUUUCCAACAGGCCCCACGUGUCAGCCACAACACCGUACGUCAGGGGAUCCUCCUCCAUUUUCUUCGACGGACACAGCAAUCUCCGUCUUUUUAGCAAGUGUAUCGUCUGAUGCCACAAUACAUGUACAUCAGACCAGACACCACGGGCAAACAACAAAAAUCAUUAGAAACCUGAGCAAUUUCCACAAAAUAAUAGACGACAUUAUAUUAGGGGCUACAUUCUUUUGUAAUCCAAAGUCGACCAAUACUCUCAUAACCACACCAAUGUUCUAAUGUCUGUCCAAAGCACUUUUGCAACACAACAAUGAAACAACAAAUGAACGGCUGAUCCAGGUUCAGCACAAAGAAGGCAGCUAGUAUCUGGAGCAUUUUGUCGUUUAACAUGAACCCGAAGUAAGUAAAAUGAACAACAAAUUAUCUCUAGUAAAGCAACUUGUUAUGAGUUACCAGCCAAAGUAACACAUGAACCCCUUCUCGUCAAACAACAUGUACAUGAACCCUAAUAUGGAGAGCAAUGUAAACAGGGGUAACUCCCUUGAAAAUUUAUUAUAGCAUACAGAGGAGCAGUGUAUAAACUAUCCUCUUCCUCCGUUAAAAACAAAGAAGAAACAAUAUGAACUGAUUAGAUAAAUUAAGGUGUGUAUUCAUUGUUUUUUCUCGUCGCGACUCGACAGAGUUAGUAAAGGCUAUGGUGUCAACGCGAUUUACCAAUGCGCAGUGGACAUACCCCCUUCCAAAAAUAUAAGGAUGAACUUGAUGAUUGAGGAACCAAGGAAAAUUUAUCCCCACAAUGGCGCCGAAGUCUUGCAUAAAUUUUACUCCCGAGUACAUUUUUCACUUGUAAUGUAGCAUUGAGUAGAGGUCAAUUAAAAAGCAAUUUGGCAACGACCAACGAGGACAUAAGGAUGUAUGAUCAGGGCUCAAGGAUCAACUUGUCCUUAUUUUUUUUGGAUUUCUCAUAUUAGGAUUUAUCCUUAUAUAUUUUAAGGUAGGAGUAUGUACUCGUUGAGAAACUAAUAUAUACAAUGCCUAAACUAAGACAAAGUUCACCCACCAACAUCUACAACAAACACUCUAGUAGUUAGAUCUUGAAAAACAAAACACAUGCAAGAACAAAAAAAACUACCAAACUGGAUAUUACUCGCUGUAGUUAACAAAGGUACAAACGCAUUAGCAACCUUGAGCAAUUGACCUCGACUCACAUCACGGAGAUCACAACGGCAGAGCUGGAUCAACUUUCCAGAUAGCUGCCACAAGUGCAAUGCUCUGUAAAAUAUGUCAAAACUCCGUUCCAACUCACAUCACAAGGUCCUUUGUAUAUCAUUCCAACUCCGUUCCCUUGCCUCCCCAAGUUCCCGACACAAAUGCACGAUUUCAAAGCUUCUAGCUGCCAUCCGGGCUUCCAUAACAGUGGCCAUAUGGUCUUACUGGCAAUAAGAGAGAGAGCCAUAAACAUCUGCCUUAUGGUCUUUGUCCUCAAAGGACAUUCAUCUACAAGGGAGAAGAAGUACAUAUUUGCAUGUUGCAGCUAAUAUAUUCCCAGUGCCACCUACUCCUACACUAAUCUAAAGGCAUGAGCUAGUCUCUUUCAAGAGCGGUCGAUGCGUGGAAGACAUAAUUCUAUUUCAUGAUCUCUCACAUAUGAGUGUCCCUGAUAUGUUUUCCUGAAUAUAUAGUGAUGUGCAUGCGUAUGAAUAGUUAGUAAUGUGGAGGACGGCUUGGUGUUGGUCCCAUGGAUCUUAUUGUUUCCGUUCAAUAUAUGGUGGAUGGAAAGUACAAAAAGAGUAAUAAACAUAAAAGGAUAUGGAGUGUACAUGUGGUAAUAUAUGUAGGACUAGAGGCCUGGGAGCUCCUCCCCUUUUCGGAAAAAAAUAUAACCACUGGAGCUCUCAUUUUUUUUUCCUUACAUGUACUUUCUCUGUUUCAUAAAAAAUGUCGCCCACUUAGUACAAAAUUUGUACUAAUUUAGUGCAAAAUGGACGACAUUUUUUAUGAAUAGGAGGGAGUAGUAUGAAAUCAGUAAAAUGAACUGUUCCGUCCUAGUGAGUAUUACAGUUCUUAUACUUUAAUGUAUACCAAUCACUAGUCAAAAGCUCGUGCGUUGCUACGAAGAAUAAAUAAGAAUACAAAAAAUAAUGUAAACUAUCGCAGCAUCAUGAAAACACGAAGAAUCUUCCUUCUCUUUUUAUACUUCCAUUUCCUCCCUUGGUUUGAAUGUCGCUUUGCUUCACAAGACAUGCUACUCAGUUUUUUUUAUAUGGUUCCUUCGGUAAGCUGAGGAUUUUCUCUAUCCCACUCGAUUGUAGGCAUGUCCUCACCCUCGUAUUCAUCGGGAACCAACAUGUCAUUGUUCUCCUCUUUGUCUUCAUCGUCAGUGUCAUCAAAUCUAGCAGCAGGGGUGGGUUCCUCCUCGUAUUCAUCUUGCAUCGCUUGUUGGCUGAAUUGUCCACCAAUUCAGGAAACAUCGUCUCAUCCUCAUCAUCUCUUCGAGCGACUGCCACGUCAGGCUGUGCGUCGUCAUCUAUGUCGAUUCCAGUACUGGUUUGGUUUUCGCUACAUGUAGGUUUACAGGGUCUGGACCUAAGAGGAGUUUGUGGGCGUUGAGUAUUAGCAGAGUUAACUGAAUCCCUAACUGUAAUGCUGCCCCCAUCUCCCAAUUGCUUCUACCAUUCUUUGCGGGGCUGUAGCACAUCGAUUUGAAUUUUACCGAAACGGGAGACAGCAUUCAAACCAAAUAGAACUCCGAGAUGUUCAUCGCAAGUUAGAGGCUCAAAUCUUUGCUCGGCAGUGUUGAAAUAUCUGAAGUCAACUGCAUCUUCCUGGCUCUAGGGAUAUGCAGAAUAUAGCGAAUUCCAAAAAUCAUCGAAUGAUGUGAGACUCUCUACCACCUUUGGAUAGCAAAGUUUGGACAGUAGAUGCGCUUUAGUUCCACGCAAAAUUCUAGUUUCCAUAAAAACUGCAACGUCUCCACGCAAAAAUUAUGGAAUGAUGUGCUAGUCUCUACCGGUGCAGAUUCUGGUCACCAUCGUCUCCGGACUCCUCACCACCACCUGCAGCAAGAGGCAUCGGGAUCCUCGGCGACGGCAGCCACAUCCUCAGCUUCCGCGUCAUCGACAGCGAGCAACGUCUCCACAAUUAUAACUCCUCGUCACCUCCGUCGUGACCUACUGGCGGGCUUUUGUAAUUGCUUCAUGAAGACGAUGUUAUGCAACUUAGAAGAACCUGCGCACUUCUACAGGUAUUGUAUUCAGUCAUUCUAAAGGUUUAUCUUCUAGAGCGUUUUGCUCCACUAUUAAUAUACUUCCAUAUGUAUGCUUGGCGCUUUCCGUUAGUGGUUGAUCCCAAAUGGUCCAUCAGCAUUGCGUGGCCUCUCUGAAUCAUCAUAAGCAUUCAGUUAUGUCUAUUAGAGAUGGACUGGAAAUGGAGAGCAUUCUCUGAACAUUUAAUCUCUUAUGUUUAUUUGCUUUUCCAUGGUUGUUUUUGUAGGGGUUGGUGUAUGUAGACUCUUUAGACAAAGAGCAUAUUGAGGCAGCCAUUAAAAAGAACAAGAAGAAGUAAGAAAGUAAGUAUUGAUCACUCAGAUCCAACCAAAUCGGCAUCUAACGAUGAUGGUGUGACAUUGUUCAGAUAUCCAGUUUUGGAAUAAGAACAGGUCCAUGAAAGGUCUAUCGGCAAAAUUCGUGGUUCUGAGAUUCAUAUGUCAGCUGCUUAUUUUUCUUUACCUGCUUGACAAUGAUACUUCAAUGAUGAUCCUUUCUAGCUUAUUUUAUGGAUAUGACUCCUCUUUUAAAUACUCCCUCCGAUUCAAAAUUGUUGUCGAAAUAUUACAUGUAUCUAGACGCUUUUUAAGAAUAGAUACAUCCAUAUUUGGGCAAAUUUGAGUCAAGAAUUUAGGAUUAGAGUGAGUACUAAAUUUACUGUUAUCUUAUUUGUGCCCCAUGUAAUACAGCCAGUGUUAUAUUAGGUAUUAUGUUAUAUCGAAAUAUACAUAAUUCCAGAAAUUUUUAGGUAACCAAAUUUAUAGACAUGGAUGCUUGGUGGAUACGUUAAUUGGAGUCGAGCAAUCGCAACUCACAUAUAUAAUUAACUGGUGGAUUCUGAGAUUCUAUUGUACUAUUUUUCAAUUAGUGUUUACCCUGAAAGAGCGAGCUGCAAAAAUUAUUUUUGUAGUCAUAUCACUUUUUUGUGUUAUGAGACUGUCAAGCAAGAGUUUACUUAUGAUUUCUAGCAUCAUCUAAGUCUGUUAUGAUCUUUUCAGGUUGUAGUGGUAACAAGUGAUUUACCUCUUUGAUAUUAAACUGAAUUGUAAUUCUUUCGAACUGGCAAUGAAACUAAAUUGUAAUUCUUCUGAACUGACACAGUGCCAUGUAAACAAAAUAAAUCAGCAGUUGGAAUUGAAAAUCCUCAGCUUCAGUUACUUCUGGAGUAACAGUGUGCACCUUUUUCUUCUUUCAAUUCUUCUGAGUAGGUUGCAAGAACAUUACAGUUUAGUUUCUAUGUCAUAUCUUCAAUCUAAAAAACUAAGCUUCUUACGGCUCUCUAAAUUACCUCCGCACUAUGAUGCACAUUUUCUUGCAUCAACAGUGCCUCGUGUUCCUGUUUAUGUGAACAACUCGUAAGCAUAACAGUUAAUAUUGUAGGAUACAUCACUGCCAUUCCAUGGUUCUUAAAACUAGGAUUACUCACUCGGUUAUGCGGACCUCUUUUAGGAUUAACACCUAGAACUAGACGUCUUGCAGUUCUCUAGAUGGUUUUAUAGCAUUAAUCUUGUGCUUUCUCUUGUACCAACUGCCGUCAUUACUUUUAUACUUCACAGUUGCUCUGAUUUGAUAUUAGCAUUAAAGAGUUUGGUCAGACAUUACUUGCACACUAUGUCACUUAACUCUCGUCUCUUUUGUUUAUCUUUUGAGAUUUUUUAUGGUAUCCCGGAAUUAAUAUGAGCCAUCCAUUCUCUGCGAUCUAAUGGCUAAUAUCGUGUGGUACUCCGUCACAAGUCUUCAGAGUACCAUCUAAAAAAUAUACGGAGUAUCAUGGAGUGAAGGCCAAAACUGUAAUCGUACAGAUUCUUCUUCUUUCUUAAUGACCUCAUGAUCAGAUUUGGGAAGUCGAUGGCCUCAGGAAAGAUUGCAUUGGAGAUGCCGCCGGGCGCCGGCACACCAAGGUAAUCUCCGAUUGUGAAAUCUGCUACACCGUAUUAGAAAUCCAUAUCUGUAAUCCCCGUCCACGUUCCCGCCGCACCAAGAUUGGGGAGCCGGCUUGCCGUGGAGGCGCUGUAGGACAGAACUCGAUCGAUCUUACCAGAAUCAUGAACGGUGAAAAUAGAACCUAGCACAAUCAACUCGCAUGGUAGCCUUAUGAUUGAUCUUACUAAAAUCGUUAUCAGGAAAAAUUGAACCUACGGCACAAUCAUUGGAUUCGAUUUGCAAUUCACAUCUUAAACUGAACAACGAUUAGAGCAACCAUGAGUAACGCCGCCGGCCGCAGAUCAUUGGAUGAUCUGGUCCGGACUCCGGAGUGAUUUUGCCGGAUGAAGCACGAACGUGAACUCAGAAAACCUACUUGAACACGAAGCACACAAAACAGAAGCAGACGGGUAUAACGGUAGACGGCGGUGCGCGGCCGCGGGGACAAAACGGCAACAGAGUCGCAACAGCCAGAUCGAUUGGGAAGACACUUCAAAAGUCCAAAACACCCCGCUGAUACGGACGGUUGGAUUGUUUGGUACUCCUUUCUGCAUAUUGGAGUACUAGGGUACUAAAAAAAGCCUUUAUCUUUUUCGUCUAUCAAUUAUAUCUAACCUUUUACGCUCAAUGUUUUGUUGUUUUCUUUUUCAUUUUACAUGCAGGUGCCUCCCUGCAUCUGCAUGUCUUACGACUGCAGAUGUUUGGAACAAUUGCAACUGUCGUUCUCUGGUGUUGCGCUACACAGGUGUAAAUGAUGUUGCUUACAUAUAGCACUACUGUAGAACCAAAGACCACGUAAAACCUGUUGUUCACGGUAGCACUACUCAUCCAUGUUUUUUGCUGUCUUAUGUAAUCAAGUGUACCGAGAAAGUAUGUAAACUGUCUUCUGUAAUCAUGUGCACCGAGAAAGUAUGUAAAUUGUUCCGAUUUGUACAAUUUUUUGUUGCCUGUUUUGUAGCGGUAGCAAGUCUCUGCCCUGUCAGUCUUGCUUAUCACUGGAGUUGAGAUCGCCUGUAUGGCUGUAUCAUAUGCAAUGCCUCUUUAGCUGAAGAAGAAUUUUGGUUAAGAUUCCAUGGCCAUAGCUAAACAACAAAAAAAAAACAUGGCAUCUUAGAAAGGAUACACUGCGUAACGCGGAGGUGCUGACUCCGGGGCUAUCUAGCCCCAUAUUUCUAGCCACAUGUUUCAUCUCAGGCCCACCAAAUUAAUUUAUUUUGUCCUAUACUACAGAGAGAUUAGCAGCAAACUAGUACUUGUGGCAGGCACGUGUUUUUUACUGACAACUCUUUAUUUUUGUUUGGUUCUCUCUCGUUCUCUGCAUCUCUGUCCCAUUUUCAAGUACAUUGUGGUACACGUUUUUAAGUACAUAUUUAGUGCAUUAUGGUAAAUAAACGGUACCUUAUCAGUUUUCAAAUAUCUUGUAUACAUGAGCUUACGAGACGAGUACAUUGUAUGGUACAUCACAUGUACAUUAUCACUUUUAAGUACCUCACGUAGAUGGAUUUAUGAGACGACUACAUCGUAUGGUGCAUCACAUUUAUUCAGAAAAAAUCAUAGUACAUGACAGAUACAUGACAAGUACAUCAACACACAUCACAAAUACAUAAGACACAUCAGAGACACAUGAAGGUACAUAACAAGUACAUCAAAACAAAUUCGAGACACAUGAAUGUACAUUACAAGUACAUGAAGACACAUCAGAGACACAUGAAGGUAUAUGACAAGUACAUCGAGGCACAUGAUACUGCUAAAAAAUCACAACACACAUUCAAAAAGAAAUCAUGAGAUCCAAAAGCAAGAUCACAGUACAAGAUUCAAAAAGAUCCAAAAGCACACGCAUCCGGUACAGUCGGCGGCCCGGCACCCGGAUCCAGCAGAUCGCCUCGUCCACGAGCAUGGCCAGCGACGGCUCAGGGCGAAGUGGUGGGGGCGGCGGAGGCGGCGGUGCGGAGAGGUGGGGGCGGCGGCGGAGGCGGCGGCACGAAGAGUUGGGGGCGGCGCGGCGGAGGCUGACCUGUGGCGGAGGCGGCGCGAAGAGAUGAGGGCGAGCUGGGGCUGGGAGAGAGAGAGAGAUGCGCGAGAGAGGGAAGAGGGCGGGGUCGAGGCUGUGGGCUCAGGCGCUGUGCAUCGUGGAGUGCUGGCGCGGGGCGGCUGGUGGGGCGGAUCGAGACGCGGCGGCACGCUGGCGGAGUUGAAGAAGAUAGAAUAGGUCGGGGAGAGAAGGAGAAACAGUGAGGAAGAAAAGAAAGAGGGGCGGCUAGGGAGAAGAUAAAACCGAGGGGGGAGAGGUGGCUUAUUAGCAAAGCAGUGUCAGGAGAUUAAGAAAAGCGGGGACAGAUGUGUGGUGAAGAAGGUGGGGCUAAAUAGAGGGAGUGACCGAGAGGCAUAUCCUGGGUUUGUUUUGACAGUAAAAACAUUUUUACAAAUUAGACAGCACAUCUCGCCCCAGUCAGGCUUCAGGCGGCGCGGCGUUCAAAAGAACUAUAAGCGAUGGAAAAAAAA
rnacentral:lncRNA from 1 species